rnacentral:lncRNA from 1 species
GGAAAACGAGUACCAAAUAAAUUUCCAAAAAAGGACUCAAAAGUAAUUUACGAACUCAAAAUUCAAAAUUCCAAACUCUCUUCUCAUUGGUCGUUUUUAAAUGACGCGGAUCGAGACUAAAAUGAUAAUCACCGUCAAUUACAUCUAAAUCCAACAGUUACUUGCCAAAGAAAACUGGUGCAGAAAAGGAACCAAAAUCUCCUUCCAAGGCUACCAAAUCUCCCAAGAAAGCUGCUGCUUAGCUCAAUUGAUAUGUAUUUUACCCUUACCUGACUCUCCAUCUUGUAUGAAAUUGUGGGCUUAGAAUGUGUUAUUUUGAUGGUUACUAGGUAAAUUAGUAGGGUGAGAAAGGAAGGUUGUAAGUGAUGGUUGUGAUGUUUUGGGAUCUUUUUAAUGAAGUCAAUGAAAGAAACUUCUUGUUUCCGAUUUAUUCUUAGCUUUUUCAUGUUGGUUUGAUAUUUUGUUGAUUAAAAGAUGGAUGGAAUUUGUUUUAGGAUUUGAAAAAAAUUAGGUUUGAUUCUCAAAUGCAACAAGUAACUGGUUUGGUUCUUGUUUUCUUCAUUACACUAAAAGUUAUAUCAAAUGAAGAGUGUAUAACUAAUUUUAUGAAAAUUUAUUUAUUUAUGUAAUCUACUACUUCAUAAAUUAUUAUAAUUAUGUUUCAUUAAUAAAAAAAUUGAAUUCAUUAAUAAAUUUAAUGAGUGUAGUAUAAUUAAUAGAAAAAUCACAACUAAUAAUUAAGAAUUAAAUUUGUUGCAUAACAAGAAAGUGACACAGAUAUCCUAAUGAAGGUUGGUGCAAAAUGGAAAAAAAAAAAAAAAAGGCAAAAGGGAUAUUAAUUUUUUUGGUGUAAAAUUUGAUGUUGGUUUGGAGUGAGAUUAUACCAAAUAUUUGGAAUGGAUGGAAUUUGUUUUAGGAUUUUGAAAAAAAUUAGGUUUGAUUCUCAAAUGCAACAAGUAACUGGUUUGGUUCUUGUUUUCUUCAUUACACUAAAAGUUAUAUCAAAUGAAGAGUGUAUAACUAAUUUUAUGAAAAUUUAUUUAUUUAUGUAAUCUACUACUUCAUAAAUUAUUAUAAUUAUGUUUCAUUAAUAAAAAAAUUGAAUUCAUUAAUAAAUUUAAUGAGUGUAGUAUAAUUAAUAGAAAAAUCACAACUAAUAAUUAAGAAUUAAAUUUGUUGCAUAACAAGAAAGUGACACAGAUAUCCUAAUGAAGGUUGGUGCAAAAUGGAAAAAAAAAAAAAAAAGGCAAAAGUGAUAUUAAUUAUUUUGGUGUAAAAUUUGAUGUUGGUUUGGAGUGAGAUUAUACCAAAUAUUUGGUGCAAAAUGAGGAUUUGGUGUAAGGGUUGAAGUUGCCUUGAAUUCAAUCUGUGUUUGUGAUGCAAUUUGCAGCAACUUUCUGGAAGUUCCUUUUGCUGCAUCACAAAAAAAAAAAAAAAAGGGUUGAACCCUAAUUUUGAAAGUUCUUUCCGUCUCGUCUCUAGAAUUUUGUGAGGGAGGUAAAUCACGGGAUAUGUUUCAACAUGUCAAUGAAUAAGAGUUGCAUUGCACAGUGGAUGGUUCAUUGCUUGCAAAGCAAAUUUUGAAUAUGGGGAAUUAGCUUUUGAAGUUUUCUUUAUGUGGUUGCCCUGUAAAAUUCGAAUCUUACUCUUUAGAUUUACUUUAUUUUUGAAUCUUGAUAAUGAACAACACUCUUAUUUUAGAAGCAUUCAUACAGCAUAAUUAUAUUUUAUUCUCGAUGAAUUUGAAUUUGAAUUUGAAAUUGAAUACAUGAAUUUUGUUUACUCAUAUUUGGGCUCCGUUUGGGAGCAAUUUUGAGAAUUGAUUUUUUGAUUGUUAGGAGAAAGGUCAUUUGUAAAAGAAGUCAAAUUUUACGGUUGGAAUAGUAAAAUAACGGUAAAAAAAUCAAUUUCUUGGGGGUGAAAAAUUACGCCCAAACACUGCCCAAGUAUAAACAACUGUUUCUUCCAUUCAGUGGAGAAUAAGAACAAAGGUAAAUGCAUAUAGGAAGAAAUCAUUCUUUAAAGCGUCUGAGUAUUAUUCUACCUGUUUAAUUUAUUUAAAGCCCCAUUCCUCCAUUCAAUUCCAGAGUUUGAAAAUUCAUGUAGUCAAUUUCAAUUACAAUUACAAUUACAAUUUCAUGGUUAAUACUUUUAUCUUUCUCAACAUGUAUAUUCCUUGUAUUAGAAUGCAAAUCUACUGAGGUUGGUGCAAUAGCUGUAAAUGGAAGAAAACAAGGGGUGUAAAAGGGCGUAAAAUCGUCAGUAAACUAAGAGGCAAACCAUCAUUUUAGAAAACAUCCCGUCUCUUUGUUCAAUCUAUAUUUAGAAUUUGUAAAGGAAUUUUUAGAACAUGCUUAUAGCUGGCCUUAAGCUCAUCCUUAAUCCUUUCUCGUGAUAUACUUCGUUCUUAUAACUUGGAUGCAACCUAGAGCAUGUUUGGUAUAGCUUAAAACCUAAUUAAAAUCAAUUUUUGACUUUUAUUUCAUUAUUUCAGUUGUCAUUUUUGAAUCAUUCUCUCACAGGUAGGACCCAUUUUAUCUUUAACGGUAAAAAAUUCAAUUAACAAAAAUCCCUAUCAAACAAGCACCUAGGCUAAUCCUAAAGGGUAGGGUCAUAUGGAAGGUUAAUUUUUUUACUUUGGAAAAUAUCAUGUUAAUUCGAUAUCAUUCCUUUUGAGGCUUUUAGGACCAUUUAUCGGGCAAAAAAAAUUCUAGGGAAGAUAAGAAAAGGUGAUCCUAUAUAUUCCCUAGGUCAAUCUAAUUUUCAUCAAGAGAUGGAAGGGUGGCAAUAUAUAUUCUCUGGAUGUCAUCGUGCCUUGGCAGUGCAGUUUCUCUUGUGAGUAUACUUCUGUUCGUUCUUCGACUUGUUAUUCUAAACUCAGUUAUCGACUAACUUUCUUAUGUCUUGAUAAAGAUGUCCAAUCCAAGUCAAAUCCUCCUUCGUAGGACCUAUAGAGUAUCAAAACAAUAUAUUUUGAGCCCCAACAAGAAGAGAAAGUAUGACAAGCUCACAUAGAAGAAUAUAUAUUUAGUUCGGUAUGUCCGAUGUCUUGAAAAUCGUUGACCCCAAGAAAAAAUAGGUCAUAGUGGCAAAAAUUGUAAAGCGCAUGUGUAGUUACCUACAUGUCAUGCAAACUGUAGUGCCCUAAGAAAAGAAGCUCAUGAGCUUAGGAUACGACCUUUCCAAAGCGAGCCAAGGCAGAGUUAUUAGGUUCUCAACGAGAUAUCAUAUUUUCCAAUGUCUUGAUGUUGAAGUGAGCCCUGAAAUUUGUUGGAUAUUGGUGGUUUGGUUGAAAAGGCUUUGGAGAAGUCAAAAGAUGGGUCAAGGAGAAAAAAUAGGAGCAUUUUCGCUCGCUGCGCGCUAAGGUCCCCCUUGAGUGCUUAGAGCAAGGAGCUCGUCACACUCUGUCUGCAAGCUUUGAGAUUGAGUGACAGAGGUGUCGCUUGUUGCCCGAUGUUAUCUGGCCCAAGCCAAUUUCGCCAAUUUGAUGAAUUUUAAGAUGCCCAUUUCACCUAAAACACUAUAAUUAGGGUUGUAUAUAUAAUCCACCAGUUGUUGGCUCUCCAUAGUGGAAAACAACAUUAAAUCUAGAUUGACAACAUGAAAUCUUGUAACAGUCCAUUAUUGAGUUAGUGAAUUAGUGAUUAUUUCCCGUUUUAGGUUUUCAUAUAAAAUCUUGUGUUCUUAUGUUGGGUUUAUUUUCACAUUAUCUUGUUUAUCUCCAACAAAUUGGUAUCAUAGCGAGAUUGAUCUUCCACUAUGGUAACGAUAAAAUAUGAUAUUCCCCUUUUGGAUUGAAAUACAAGGUCUUCGCUAUGGUAGGUAAAGAUACGAGCUGUGCUCGCACUGAUGGAUUUGGAUGAUAUUUUGUUAGAGUUUGAUAAAAUGCCUUCUACUUGGAUACGGGAGGAAAAGCUGUGUAGAGAUCAAAAGGCCCUGUCACAAAUCCAUCUCCAUCUAUUAAAUCAAAUUCUUCAAAAUGUUCUAAAGGAGAAGAGUGUUGCUGCAUUGUGGUUGAAACUUGAGUAGCUUUAUAUAAUAUAGAGUUUGAUCAAUUAGUUACACUUGAAGCAUCGAUUUUAUUCUCAUCGCAUGUCCGAAGGUAUGUUUAUAGAGGAUCACUUAAUCGUUUUUAAAGAAAUUGUGGCUGAUCUAGAGACGUUGGAGACUAAGUAUGACGAGGAAGAUUUUGGAUUGAUUUUGUUGCUUUCACUGCUAUCUUCAUAUAUAAAUUUUAGAGAGAAUAUUCUCUAGGGAAAAGAACUUGAAAACACAGGAGAAGCUAGUGUAAUAGGAGAUGAACAAAGUGAAGGAGAGCUUUUGAUGAUUUUGAAGGAAGAUUCCAAACCUUGUGACGAUUGAAUCCUUAAUUCAACUCGUACAUUUCAUAUUUUGUGUAGAACUAACUUGUAAAUAAAAAUACAAUAACAAAGUAAUUUAUUUAUGAGUUAAAAAAAAUACGUUAAAACAAAAAAAUUACUUUUAAAUAAAAACUCAGACAACUCACUUUUCUGUUAAAAAAAAAAUGCUUAUAAAGUAAAAAAUACUACUAGUUAGAUAAAACGAUACUUAUAAAAUAUAAUUUUCUUUUAAAAAAUUCACUUAAACUUAAAAAAAUAAUUAUAAGUAAAUAUUUCACUUUUGAGUUAAAAAUUAAGUUAUAUGUAAAAAAAAAAAAAAGUAAUUGAAAUGAAAAUAGUACUUGUGAAUAAAAUAAAUUUUAUGCAAGUAAUUAUAAAUUGAAAAUUUUACUAAGGCCAUAUACAUAAUUUUAUUCUUCUAAAAUUCUUUUAGAACAUCUGAAUGAUAAAUUUACAAGCAUGUAUUAGACUAUUUUAAAAAUCUUUACCAAAAUCAAUAAAAUCUAGACCCUUCAUAAACACCCGAAAUUGACACUAUUAAAAUACCUCAUAAAGAAUACCCUAAAACUCCCUUGUAUUUCUGCUCGGUCUAAAUCACCCAUAAUUUAACCUUCAUAAAUACUCAAAAUCGAUACUUGGCAAACCCCCCCAUAAUAAGUACCCAAAACUUCCAGUCAGGCCCUGAGGGUGCUAAAAGUAGCUUUUAUUCUUUCAUUAGUGGACAAGAUGAAGGGUGAUAUGAACAUGUGAUCUUACGUAACCUCCACGUGAGGUGAAGGUGUAACAAGAUCCAAGAACAUUGGACUCACGACUCCUAUUUUAUGAUAUAACUUUUUGAUCCGUCAAAUCUAUUUCUUCCUUUAUUGACGACAAGCCUGCAACACGGACGUGUAGCGUCUAAUUUUAUGGAAAUCUUGCAUUCCAUAACAACAGGAAUUAUAUAAUUAACUCCAAAUUUAUUCAUUAAAGUUUUUCUAUUCUCUAUGGAAGACACUCAUUGUAAACUAAUUUGCUGUAAUCUCUUCCUUCUUAAUUGACCUUUUAGAUAAUUAUGCAUGCUAAAGACAACAUUUAAAUAAAUACGUAAUCUAACUACCACGAUACUAGAACCAAACAUAAAAUAUCACGAUAGAGUUAUGCUGGGGAACCAGGUAGGGGUACGAACAUGGGUGGGGAGGGAAUUUUUGGGGUCAUUUUUUAAUGAGGUGGGUCCGGUCCAUGUGAUGGAUCUUAUCCAUUCAUACAAAAUUGUCACGUGCUAAGAGUUCCGAACACAUGAACCGACACUCAGAGACCAAAAUUUAAAUAACCAAACCCGUUCUUCGUGUAAGAACUUAAAAUUUUUAGAUGAGGUUGCUACUAAACUUCAAAUGCACAAAUUUUGCCGAACAGGAAAAACUAUAAUGCAAAAUGUCUAUCAAUUCAACUUUUUCAUUCAAAUUCCAUUCGAUGGAGUCUUUAGAUUCAUACAGAUAGAAAAGAAAACCACACAAAUCGCAUACAAACAUCCCAAUGAUGCUUUAACUAUUGACAUUCCAUAAGAAAAAUCAGCAGAUUAAUUUAGAAGUAGAACAGAACGCUCAGUGCAGAAGAAAAGGAGAAAAGAUGCUCUAACUAAUUUAACUUGAACUACAUUGCCAAAGGAUUUAUAGUUGCCCACAUGUUGGAGGAGUAGACGCGUCAAAAGAGCUGAGCAAACCAAACCCGAUUCAGCCCAGCCCGCAUGACAAUUCUACGGAGUACUGAAUUAUCCUUCUUUCUCUUCAUACUUUUACCUCUGCUAACUGUCAAGAGUGUCACGUACUAUCCUGGGACAGAACUGAGGAUUUCAGUAUUGCACGAUAGCCUGAAGAUAUCUGGGAUUUGACAUCUUGUUGCUAUUUGAUCCCAUUGGAGCUCAUACUUGCUAAUGGAAGCCAGAUGAGAAAGCGAAUGAUCCUCGUAGACAAGGACCUAAGUUUGAAGGAUAGUUAAUAAUUUAAAAGGUUUGGGAAAUGGGUUAGAAUUAAUUGAGAGAGGAUCUUCCAAGUAUAUGCUUUAAACAUUCUACUUUUGCUUUUCAUGCGAUGACCUCAUUCCAUUACACUCUGCCCAAAUAUAAGGUACCAAGAAAUAAAAUUACCAAUUUAAAAGUCUAUUUGAUAUAAAUCUUGAGAGUAAGUUUUGUGAACAGAACAUGCAAUUAAAAGUAAGAAAAAGUUGUGAAUUCACAUAUAUAUUUUAUUGGAAAAACGUUUGGUUUGACAUGAAUUUGAAAAAAAAAAAAAAAAAUAGAAGAGUUUUUGGAAAAGUCCGAACUCAUCUUACCUUUCACAGAUUUCUAUCGCAUCUUCAAGGAUUCUAAUCCAAGAUCUCUGUCUUUUGAGCGUAUGACAAAUGUCUUGAAUUCGAAUAUUACGGGGACACGAUAAAAACCGUGAGGAAUUGAGAUGGCAAAUGCCUUCCCAAAGUGAAUAGUACGUAUGAUAUAAUAAAUUGAACACGAGGACCCAAUCAUUACGAUUUGUACCAAACUAGGACUAAAUGUCGAUUUUUAAAUCAAACCUCUUUUCCAAUAACACAAGAGAAGAGACUUGUUUAUGGUCAAAUAAUUACUAAAACAAUAAUAGCUAGUCAACGCAUACAGAGUACACAUCAAACUAGUUCUAUUUAAAACUCUUUCUUUAAAAAACAGAAAAAAUGAAUUUAAUGUAAAGUGGGCUAUUAGUCUUUAGAGAAUUUAAGUUUAAAAUGAAUUCUUUUGAAGUCGAUGUCCAAACCAUUAAUGGGAAUGAAAGGCCAAAAAUAUGAUCUCUCUUUAUUUAUUUUACUGUCACCCAUAGACGUUUGACAUAACCAUACAAUCACAUGACCAAUUCUACUUGGCACACAAUUUUUCGAGUAGUCCAAUACUAGGUUUCUAUGUGGAAUGAAAUCUAAAUGGUCACAUUUUUUCUUAUCCAUUUUCACUCUAAAUUGUUAUGAUUACAUGCUUACACACAACNNNNNNNNNNNNNNNNNNNNNNNNNNNNNNNNNNNNNNNNNNNNNNNNNNNNNNNNNNNNNNNNNNNNNNNNNNNNNNNNNNNNNNNNNNNNNNNNNNNNNNNNNNNNNNNNNNNNNNNNNNNNNNNNNNNNNNNNNNNNNNNNNNNNNNNNNNNNNNNNNNNNNNNNNNNNNNNNNNNNNNNNNNNNNNNNNNNNNNNNNNNNNNNNNNNNNNNNNNNNNUUCGCUAGAUUUUCAACAAAUGAAUAGGAAACGAAAGAUAAAACAUAAAUCAUGAAUUCCAUUGAACUCAGAAAUGAUAUAUUGGAAAAAUCCAUUGGUUCUUCUAAUAUCAAUAGGUUGAUCAUUUCACUCGUGUACUUUCCAAAAGAAAAAAGGACUUCAGAGUCUUCCCAGAAUUUUUGUUAGUUUAUAAUGUCUGGCCUCACACUUUUUCCUAGUCUAACUUGACAAAGGAUGUGAAGAGCGUCGUGCCACUUCAAAAGCAGCCCAACCUGAUCUGCUGUACACACUUAGUUCCGGGGGUGAUGAAAGGAAUAAGAUGGCUAAAACUUAUAUUUCUUCUAUACCAUACACGACAGUCCACAGCUUACUCAGAAUAUCUACGCAAACAAAUAAAAACUAACAAUCUAGGUAACUGAUUCUCAGGCAUGGGAAAAGGAAAAAUCACCAUUAAUCAAUACAGAAAGCAAUUUCCCUAUCUCCCAAUACCCAUCCAGUGCCAGAUCAGACUUCAACAUAUGGAAAUGAGAGUAAUCAAACUCAACCUUCAUUUUUGUACAAAUCUAAUCCCCCUGCACCUGAUAAUACAAUAACAGUAGUCCUCCAAGAUGCAACAAGAUAUUUCCUCCUACCUAGGCCUCCAGCACACGAACAUGAUCAUCAAAUUUUAGUACCAUCUUUACAAAAAAUUUCCAAGUCCUAAAUUUGGUUUGAAGAUAACCGUUCAGAAAUACAUAAUUUGGUGAUACAUUACAUAUACAACUUACAACAAAAUGUUGAGAAAAAUAAUAUUUUCCUCUUUCCCUUUUCAUUUUUUGGGUGGGAAAAAAGGGGGUGGGGGUAAUGUUGAGGGCUCAUUUCAAGUUUUCACCAAAUACCAAGAUGUCCAGAACAAGACAAAAUGUAAAACUCCAGAUCAGAUGCAUUUUAUAAUAUUUAUCUAUGUAGCGAGUUAGCAUUUGUCUCUAUGCACAAGAAAGAUCACAUAGCAAACUCACAUUUCGAUUACUACUCUCAUAGAUUUAGAGCUUCCUUCCCAUAUAUACGCUGAAGCUCACGGGUUGCCGCUUGGAAUGAUUCUGGAAUGAGGAAAAAGAGAAAUUAAUUAAUCAGAAAACUUUGCGUGGGGAGGAUAAGGAGGUAUGUUGGAAUAAAAUAUUAAAUACUAGAAUCCUGGAUAUGACUGUACAAUAUAAUAAAAAGACCUUAAACUCGUUUUCCUAAUAUCCAAGUUCUGUCCAAUCCUUCCUACCAAACACGACACAGCAUUUUUAUUACCUUUCCAAAUACGGAAGGCCUUUUGAUUUAUUGGAGAACCAGUCACAGUCUGAAUUGCAUCAAAUAACAUACUUUCUGGAGUGCUUCUCAACUCUUGAACUAUCUGAUAAAUUGUCUUCCCAUUCUCAAAGUAUAUGUGGUUGUUCGGGUGCUUUGUCUUGCAUCCAGCAUGACGCUCAAACUCAUACGCAUUCAGGGUCUUUAUCAAAAGAAUAAUUUAAGAUAGAGGGUUUAAACAACAGAAUCACCUUCGUUUAUUAUGCAGGGAAAUGAGAUAGCUUACCUUCGAAUACUCACAAGUUUGACACCCACAAAGAUAGCCAGAUCCUUGAAUAAUUCCACGAAGCUCCUUAUUAAAUGCAAGAAGACAUCCCAUAAAUCAGGGAACUAGAAUAAAUUUGACUAAUCUUAAAAAUUACUUCUAAGUAACUAAUUUUUGCCAACAUAUAGUUACUCUUCAUUUCAAUUUUCAGUACAAAUCUUAAGCCUCUAUUUGUCUACCAUUCUUUGAAAACUCUUUUUUUUUUUUUUUUUUUUUUUUCUAAAACUCAUUUUCAAACACACAUUCUCACAUUAAAAUAUUUUACACGUAAAUUUAAAAUUUUUCCAACUUUUUAACCACACAUUUUUUCAAAAAAUCACUAUUCCAAAACUUAUUUUCCUCAAGAAACUCUUUUUAAUGGGCAUCAAACAGCGGCUAUGUAAAUUUAACACUUUUUUCAGCUUAGCCAAACAUGCUGAAAAUGGGAAGAAAAUGUAAAAAGGAAUUACCUCCCGCGAUACAGAAACAUAUCUCACAGGCACCCCAUCAAGUAUAUUAGUUGCUAUCAAACUCCUGACAUUGGAAGGGAAGCUAUUUGGCGCUUCUUUCCUUGAUGGUUUUGUUUCAGACUUAUUUUUAGAUGUCGAGUCAGGCCUGGAUUUGGGCGCCUGAGAGGUGCUCAUAGUAAUAUUAGCAUUCUGAACGUCCACCGCUUUUUUGCUUGGUAUUUCAGAUGUCUGAUCUGAAGAUUGUUCGUACAAUAAGCUAUAGCUACCAAUUGGCCUUGCCAGAGCAUCAAGAACCGAUUCGUCUUGAUAGCCACCAAAAGAUAUGGUGUUAGUUUCCCCUUUGUCGUAUGAGUGAGACAUCAAUGUGACAUGAUCAUUGCCUUUUCUGGAGUUAGAACUCACAGAUCUCAUAUUUGCAUCCCCACUCCCAUAGGGUUGUCCCAUGGAUAUGAAGGUAUCUGUACUUCCCCUGCUAUAGGUCUGAUCCAUGGAAAUCCCUACGUUUUGUUCCAAAGAUGCAAGCAAUCCAUUUUCAGAGUCCUUAACCUGAUUAACUUUGACUUUUCUAAUUCCACCAUAGCUUAUGCAUGUUUCUGGAUCUUCGAUACCAUAAGAUAUUGACAGACCAACAGAAGAGUCAUUUCCAAACUGUUCAUCAACAAACUUCUUCCUCAUGUUUAAUCCAUCCGUCCCAACAGUGGACAUAUUUCUUUCAGUUAAGUUUACAGAUCUGGUAGUCUCGGGUCCGAAUAGCCUAUCAAUGAACUGGUUUGGUACAGAGUGAAAGCCAGAAGAAUAAUCCCAAUGAAGAGCAUUUGACAUGGAAAUUCCUGCUGCUGGCUUGACAAUUGGAGAUUCAACAGUUUGCUUUUUAUUAGGAAUUAGCUCAGGUUCAGCAGCAUCAGAGAACCAUUGACGACCACGCUUGGGCUCCAUACUAGACAAAUUACCAAAAACUGCAUCCCCGUCAGUCAUUGGUCCACCACCCUUUGGCAUCCAAAAUCCCUUGUCCUGGAAAGACAAGAAUUACAUAAAAUUUCAAAAAAGUAUCUUCGCCACCACUUCAGUAAACCAGGUCUUGUAACAAUAUGAUGACCUAAGCAUAUCUUCGGUAAACAGCUAUUCACAAAGUAUUAGAGUCAGUUUAAGAGUACAGAAUCUAUAGCCGUAACACUUAUUGGGUAAUUGAACUAAUGCUUAAAGUUAUAUUAAAUUGCAAUGAACUAAUCAUAUAAAGGUAAAAGCUCCUCUUGAAAAAUUAGUAUAAUGACAUAUAAGUAAGAUUCAACUUGCCAAAUUAUGAUUCCAGAGUCUUCAUAAUUCUGCUUGUAAAUUCACCCACUAACUAAAAACAUCUAAGAAUCACAUCAAUUUUACAUUUUCUUAUAUUAAACCCUUUAAAAGGUCUUAAGUAUCCAAAUUUCCAUUAUAAAUCAGAUUUUCAACUCAUUUCUUUCACUUUUUCCCUUGAUCAGAUAGUUGACAUGCAUUAAGUCGCCCCAAUAUUUUAUCCAUGUGUAAUAGUUAUUAGGGCAAGUCCCUUUCUUCGUACAGUAAUCCUCUUCUUCGUUGUAAUGACAUGGCAACUGAACGCAGAGAGUGUUCUUCACUUCAUUUCGAUUUUCAAUUUAGUGUUAUUGUUGCUAUAGGUGGCAAGGGAUUAGACGCUGAAUCCAUAACAAAAACACUACUAAAAGACAAAACUUACCAUUUAGCAGCUCAACUUGAAUGAAUAAUACGAACUCUCCCUACAUAAAAAAACACAAAAUCAAAACAAUAUUUAAAAAAAAAAAAAAAACUGCGUCAAUCAUAAAUUUAUCCACUCCGUAUAACAUCAAUCAAUAACCAUAAAGAAAGAAAAAAUCUUGAGAUUCAAAUCAAAACCCUAGCACAAAUGAAACUUUAAAAUUCUAAUCCAAUAUAAAACAAAGUUGUAACCUACCUUUAAUUACAAAUCUAGAUGGCGCCGAUGAACUUCCCGGCGGCGCGUGUCAGUCAAUUAAUUAGCCUAAGGUUUCGAGGGUUUUUCAUUUUUUAUUUUUGGUUUUUUGGGUUGUGAUAGUCGGGAUUUGCAGGAAGCUCUGAGGAGCACUCGAUUUUUGCCUAUGAGGAAAGGCCUAGGUGCAAGUGUACAUACACUCGGGUUAUGCUUUUCUAGACGUAAACGUGGCAUGAGAUGGAUAAAUCUACGCCGCUCAAAGAUCCAAAAUUGUGUUCAAGCGCAUGUUCGUGAAUCUUGAAAUCUCUAGGUCACACUAAUCGGACGGCUGUAUUUUGAAGCCCGGGUUUGACGGGAAUUUACAUAAAUAAAAAUUGAAAAAUGCACAAAAAAUUUCCAUUUGCACAAAUUUCUUCCAAAAAUUUCAUUUUUUUGCUGCAAAAUAUCAAUUUUACCAUUUGUAAGGAGCAAUAAAUGUUUGAUUUGAUGAUAAUUUAUUUUAUAUAUUUUAAACAUUUAAGAUAUGAUUAUUAUAUUGUAUAAUAUGUAUUUUUGUUAAAAAAAAAGCCUGAAAAGUUGAAAAAAAUACACAAAUAUGUAGAGCACAAACCCUACCUUCUUCUUCACCAUCUUCAUUCCAUCAUCGAUAAGGAAAAACUAUUGAUCAAUCUCAAAUGUGAGCUACUAGAAAUUGUUUAUAUUUUAAUAUCAUAGUUUACUACUAUAAAUAUUUAAUAUAACAUGGUCAUAUUUAAUUAAACUUUUUAAAUUUCUUAUUCAUUGAUAUGAUUUAUUUUUGAUAUAUUUUUCGAAGGGAAAAAAUACCAACAUACUCUAAGAAAUGUGAAGGAUUUCGUAUUUAAUGAAACAUUAAAUUAUUCCUUAUUUAUUCGUGGGAAGAUAUUGUGACGUUGUAGUUGAGAAUUGGUAAUGACCAUUAAUAUUUUCAAUAAUUUCUUCCAAAGAACCAAAUACAUGGUUUUUAAGCUUCCUCGAAAUUUAUGGCACAUCAACUGUUGAGUAGUGUCUUCGAAAUCGUCGAGUUAGACAUCUGAACGUUGAACUCGACAUUUACUAACUGUCGGGAUAGACAAUUUAACUUUCGAUUUCGACACUUGAAUUGAAACCCUUUAUUUUCCUUUAAGCUAUUACAUGGAUCUAAAUAUUCGAAAACUCUAAUUGGAUGGUAUUAAAUGUUGACAUAUAGAAUGUGCAAAAUUCUCACAUUUACAAUCCUAACAUUUUAGAUAUGUGUCAUCAAUUGAAAUUCAUCGUGCCGCAUAGGGAAAAGUUUGUUCAACCCCUAAUGUAAUACAAGUUUCUUAAACAAUCACUCGAUGCCGUUGUUCAAGUUGCAUGUCCAAUGUUCCCCUACUGCAUUGUAUAUUAUCAAGUUAUAUUAUCGUUUUGUUGUCAUUAUCGUUUGCGGCCUUAUUGCUCUUUAUGUUGUCAUUAUGGAACUCUAUUAUUGUUGAAAAUAAUUCAACCACAUUACUCAAAAACUGCUAUCACAAUUCACUAAAACAUCUAAUUUUAAUCCCCAACAAACACCUUGUUUGUAAGUUGUAAAUAGUGGACUCAAUUGACGCAUAAAUAAUAAACAUCACUAAUAUUAAAUUAUAUUACUAUGGAGAAAAGGAGAAUGACAAUUACAGAAUUGGUUUGAAUUUUUUACUACAAUAUUAGAGGUGCAGUGCUUUUUGUACUUUAAAAAAAAUCAGCAAUUUACCGUUUUCAUUUUUAUCAUGCCAUAACAUAUCGAUUUCAUCGGAGCGUAUAUAUCUUGUAUAAAGGUAUUUUCAACUUACGGUAUUCCUCAAUACAUUUUCAACUUACAUUACUAUCUUCAACUUACAUCAUCAUUAUUAUUCCCACAUAAUUCACAGACAGACAAAUAAAUACACGUUCAACUUCACAAGUAAAAUACGGAUCCAUAGACAACAUAUUGCAUGAUAGCUCGACAAUUCAUCUGUCGUUUCAGAUAGAUUGUCUCUGUCAUUCUCGACACUUGGUCCGGAGCACAUAAGAAAGUGCACACAAGAGGCAUAAGGGACAUGCAGAUGCUAAAAUCUUGGUAAAAACAUUACCAAAUUCAUCCCUAAAAAAGAUAGACUAUACAUAACUUAUUAUACAACUACAUUUUAAUACUGUCCACUUCAUUCGUCGUCGACAUUUGAACCUUCUCUACUACUUUCGUCAUCAAAAUAUGAAUCUUAAAUCGUGAGUACGAUUUUAUCAUAAAGUUUUCUUUUGUAGUUGUUGGUAAUCAAUGAUCCUGAAUACUUUUUGAUUUUAAAUGUAGCACUUGCCGGAAGAACAUAUCCUUUACUAUUAGGGAACAUUGAAGUGUGUUUAAAUGUAAAUAGACGACAAAGAAAAUGAUGAAUGAUAAAAUGAUAAAUUCUCAUAUCAUAAAGAUAACAGCAUUCGCCAUAUCUCCAGUAAACACAGCAUACGAGGUUUAUCAAAUGCAAAGUGUCUCAAAAUAAUAAUGCACCAAAAAUAUUAAUUUUUGAUAUUGGGGAUUCCAUGUUCACACUUGAUGAACAAACAACUAAGUAGACAAAGUUAGUUGUAAGCAUUAGUGUGUAGAAAUAUUCCUGCGGGCAUAAUAGUUUAUUAGACAACAUAUUUUAUUACUUGCCGACAGUUCAACUGUCGAUCACAACAAAUUGUAGAAUAAUUUUCGACAGUUCAUUGCAAAUGAGUAAAGUACAUUGAAAAUUUCAACGUAACGGACAUUCGGAUAUACACCAUUAUGUACAUACAUUAUCACGUGAAUCCCUGACAGAAACUAGAGACUAUAAAUAUAGUUUACAAAAGCAUAAUAGUUGCAAAAUUAACAAAUUCAGCUAUGUCACCAUUGAAUUUCACCUAGGAACACACAACAUUUAAGUGACGGUUACAAAAAACUAAAAUAUUUGUGCGCAUUAUUAAUAGAAACUGUAAAACAUUUUAAAAUGAAAAGCUACACAAAAGUACCAUCAUGAUAUGUUUCCAUUGUGAAAUAAGCACAUCCAAAAAUAGUAGUAUGUCAUUAACUACUUCAAACAACAGUUAUUUUAUCCUUGAGAAUAUGUUACUAUUUCCCUAGUUGACUUUUAUAAUGUAUCUGAUAUGUUGCUCGUUUAACGUUGGUUGACUUUCUAUUCCCUCCCCCUUGUGAAUGGAGUUCUAGUCGAUGCUGCAGGCACUCAAACACUUGUCGAUCGUUGUAUAUAUGCAUUAGCGUCAUCGUCACCUUGAACGGAUAUAGUUGACGCCAAUGGUACAUCAGUGUUUACCCUUAUGUAAAAGUGAUUUGCAUCUUAUUAGUUACUAAAAUUUAAUAAUAGAAGAAAAUAAAAGAUUCUACCAAGAUUUGAAGUAUAACAAUGACAUGAUACGUUUGUCUUCAACAAAAUAUAUUUAACGUAAAAUAUAAGAAUUUGACAUUGUAUAACUAUUCCAUUAUGGAACUUACCAUUUGCCAAAACAUACGGAACUUCGUGACAGUCCGGUCAUGUACCUUCCAGGUCGACACCUUUAUACAAAAUAAUUAAGUUUCAAAUGCGAAUGUUAAGAAAUCAAAAUAGUUGAGCAAUUAUUUUUUAAAACUGAAAGUAGUAACACAUACCAAUUGACUCCUUUACCCAUCUAGUCAAAGGACCUUUUGGUAGUUUGGGCUACCUUCAUACGAAACAAUCACGUUUGAAAUCAUAAAGAUAAAAACUCCAAACAGUGGGACAAAUGCAUUUUUAAAUUAAAGUGAUAAUACAUAUCAAUCAUCUCAUUUUACCUAACUAGCCAAUGGACCCUCCAGUAGUCCAGGCAAGCACCUUUUGGGUCGAUGACUUCUCUAUCUAAAAUGCCAGUUUAUACAGAUGGAUUCAUAACUACUAUGUCUAUAUUCAUGAAGUAAUAAUGGUUCUUAGGUAUAUGUUAUACAUUUCAACCCCUAAAAUCGCACGUAGAAGGGAAGUUUAAUAAAAUUUAGCUUCUAUAACCAACUGUCGAGAUAAGUGGGUCAAUUGUUGAGAACCACAAUUCAUCUCGACAAAUGAUUUCGUUACUGUCAGAAUUGACAUUUACAUUUCCAUUUCACAUUCAUAUUGGUUUUCCAAGACAUAAAGAGUCAAGUUAUGACAAACAUGAUAUAUGUUAUACUUAAAGCUUCAAAUAACACCAAUUUUACAUAAUAUAUGUUAUACUUAAAGCUACAAAUAGCACCAAUUUUCAUAUACUCAGCCAUAAGUUUUAUAUGUAAAUGCAAAGACACUUUCAAGAAUGAAAAUAAAAAUAUCAAACACUUAAAACAACAUUCAAAUAAUCCUGAAUAAUUAUAUAAAGACACACUUAAUCGAGCUUAUUUGUGUAUGUUGACCAGAAUAUACCCAGUUCAAUCUUGGCUCAUUUCACAAACUCAAAAAUUAAACCCAAACUCAAUUUGCCCAAUAAUGACCAAUAACCAUUAUUUACAUGAAGGAAAAGUGAAAAACAUAAUUAUAAGAAUAAAUUUAUAGACAACUUACAUAAAGUAUAAUGUUAACAUUUUCAUAGAACUAGAAAAACAGACAUGAAAAAUCGAAAAACUAAGACAUUGUACCAAUCUAGGGCAAAAAUAAAAAAAAAUACUGCUAAAUUUGAAAAAUUAGAAGAGAAGAGAGCAAUAAAUGCAAAAAGAAAGAAAAAAAGAAAACCUCAAGAGAUUAAUGGUGAUUUUUGUCGGCGUUGGACUGAUUAAUGAUCAUUUGGCUUCAAGCUUGAACAAAAAUAGAGAAUUUUAGCAUCGCCGACGACCUUGAACGAGAGGAAAUGAGAGACAAAAUUAAGCCGUUCAGAUUUAAUGAAAGACAUGUAGGGUAUUUGAGUUAUUUAGAGGGGCAAAAAUGUUUAAAAUUGACAAUUGUGCAAAUAAUUUAAAAAGUGACAUUUUUGUAAAUGCAAAGAAAAAAAUUGACUAUUUUAGUAAUUUUCACUAAUUUUAAACUCUGUUUUCUACCUUAUUAAUUUUAACCACAUUUAUAAAGUAAAAUAUUUUACACGUAAAAUUUUAAAAUUUUAAUUUUUCCAAUUUUUAACCAGACAUCUCCUAAAAAAUCUUGUUCAAGACGUUAUUUUCUCCAAUAAAUAGUUGUCAAACCCUCGUUUGAGCUAAUAAAUUUUAGAGUGCUAAUUUUUUAAAAAAUAAACAUAAUUUUAAAUUUGCUUGUAAAAUUAUUUUAUUGGAAAAAAAUGUAUAGUUGAAAUUGAGUUUUUAAAAAAUAAGGGGCUAUUCUUUAUUGUUUUCAAGCCAUUUUUUGUUUUCGAUUUUCCAAAAUGAUGAAAAUGCGUUCUCUUUCCUAUUUUCGAAAAUGAGUUUAUAAAAAAAAAAAAUUGUACUAGAAAACUCAAGACGUUUUUUAAGUGUUUUGCAGCCAAAUCAAAGAAAAUGAAUGAAAACACGGGAAACACACCCAAAUUAAAAACAACCUUUAUCUCUUUCUUUUUACUCUCUAUCAAUCUAUCCCAUAAAAUACAGCAGACGUUCCAAGGGUUUGCUCUGCCUUCCCAGUCACAGAUUGAAGAAUCUCUUAGGCUCAUCCUCAUCUCCUAUCCUCGUCUCAAUACUAUGUUCAAAUCUAGGUAUUUCUUUGGUGUUAUUUCUUUGCUUUGCCUUUCCAUUCUCCCACUUUUAGAUUGCGUUUUUCUUUUUCUGAAGCUUGAAUUCGUCAGGUUCUUUUCCAUCCCCCUUCUCUCUAUCUAAUAUAUUUAUACAAAGGGUGAUUUUUGGAUGUUUUGGAUUGGUUAACUUUUCGUUUAUUCUUGGAACAGGAUUUGAUGGUUAAUUAUUGUAAUCACUGCUAUCAUAUGAUUUUAACGCCAAUUCAUUCUUGCAUAAAAUUUUGCUGAUUGAUUAGGAGCUUUUUUUGUAUGAAAAUGGGGAAAUCGAGUCAACCUGCAACUUGGGCAAAUCCAAGUUAGUUUUUUAACACCUGUUCGAGUGAGGUUUCCGUUCUUGUGAUAAGCUUCUUUGGAUUUACUCUCGACGAAAUUUCAAAAUUUUGAUUGAUAUUCGGAACAAGCUUAAAAUUUUUAACUGUAUUUACUGUGAGGAAGAUGAUAGGUGUACCUAGGUGAUAAGACAUGAAAUGUCGUGAGUUACAUCCAUUAAUUCUUGCAUUUUUAUGACUAAUUAACACCUAGAUAUGCUAAGUACCCUUGUAUUGUGAUUUAUGUUGAUUUAGAUGAUCAUGGCAUAAAAUAAAAGGAAAGAGCGAAAAAGGACCUAAAUGAAAGAAAUCAAAAUUUCAAGGGCUAAAAUGUAAAUAUUCAAAAGUUGAACCGGAAGGAGAAACGAAGGAGUGAAAGAUUUGAAGGCAAUUGAUGGAAGACCUAAAGUGUUGGAAGAAGGAAAAUAAAAAAAAGAGGCAAAAAAAAGAAGAAGAUGAAAGCUCAGGGACCAAGUUGCAAAUAAUCCCCAGAUGAGACAAGCAAUGGAAUGAAGAUUCAAGAGUGCUAGAGGUCAAGUGGAUGAGAAAAGAAGUUAAAAGGAUGAAAUACAAUCAAAGAAUAGUCAUACAUCAAUUUCCAAUCGAAAAGGUUAUGCACCGAUUUUCAGCAUCAUAUUAGGACCCAUUUUUGACAUGGUAAACGAUCGAAUUGGAAGAUAACAUCUGAAGAAAAGUUAUAUCCCUUUGAGCUAGCUUCCCAACACACUUUGAAUCACCUCAAUUGGACAUCAAGAAAGAACGUUAUGAUCAAAAUACUCAAAACUGUUCGACGGGAAAACGGUUGUUCUAUUCGGUCGCAUAGUUCAAAACCAAUGGGUCGCAUUCUGACCUUUAGAGAACUUUUGGGCUGCAAGUCAUUGUUCUAUCUGACCGCAAAACUUAUAACUAUGUGGUCGCAUACCUAAUUUGAAUCAAAUACUUGUGGAAACAAAUCUUGUACACCAUAUAUAAGCCCCAAAUCUCGUCCAAAAUAGGGAGAACGCACCCAACCCAAUUUUUCUCUCUUUGUGCUCAAGGUCUACGAUGUGCAACUAGUUUCUUUUGCUUCAUCGAAGGAGACGGAAGCCUUGGAACAAUUAUAACUAUGAGAUCCACCUGAUUUUUAUUGAUUAAUUCAUAUACUUAGUAUUAAAUCUUAUUCUGCAAUUAUUUUUAUGAUUGUUGUGUUUCAUUUCUAGAGUGCACACUAGUUUAUUAAUCUCAAUAAUCUAUAGCUAAGUUGAAUUUCAAAACUGUAAUUGUUGAUUGGUUUAACUUAUGAAGUAAUUAAGACUGAUAAUUUGCUGGUUGGAAAUUAUUAAAUCUUAGGGAGAAGAUUUGUCUAGGUUAAAUGCAAACACUUGGCUUGUGUUAUCUAGUUUAUUGAUUUUCCUAAUUCGUAAAGCCAUUAUUAAAUUAAAUUCUCACGCUUGUCUAGGAUUGUUUGAUAAUGAGGAUUAAUUAGAUCGCUUAUUUCUAAUUAAUUAAAACUAAGGAGAAAUAGAAAAAAAUUUCGAAUGAGAAAUUUUUUUUUUCACAAUGAAUGCUACAAUUAUGAAUUGAUGAUUAUUUGUGGAUCAAUGAUCGAUUAUUAAUUUCCAACAGUGGAUAUUGACUUAGAUCAAGGUUUGUUUUAUUGCUUAUAUUUAAUUCGGUGAUUUGUAUUAUUUCAAGAAAACCAAAACCCCCAAUUUUAGUUAAUAUUGCAUCAAAAAGUAAAUAAAUCAUUUUUCGUGGGAUCGAUCCUUACUUUCACUACUACAUUAACUUUAAGAAGUAUAGGUUUUAAUUUGGAGUGCCUAUGAUAGAACGCACCAAAUUUUGGCGCCGUUUUCGGGGAGUGAUUUAGUUUAUUUUUAUGCUUUUUAUUUGUUUCAUUAGUUUUUGUUUUUAAAAAAAAAUUGUUUAUUUUGUUUAGUUUAGUUUUUCUUUUCUUUUUGCUUCCUUGAUUGUUUAUGCCCAUAACUAGAUUCUCUAAUCAAUGUGAUUUGCAGUAUGAUCCAGAAAGAGAAAGAACUUUGCGCAGGUUGAGGAUUGGCAUGGGUAUGAAUCAAACUUUGAAAGAGCUUACAGCUCCGGAUUUGCAUCAACAACCCUUGUGCAUAACUUUCCUUAAUUUAGAUGCUAAUACUACUUUUGAAUUUAAAUCUGGACUAAUACAUCUAUUGCCCACCUUUCAUGGUUUUGCAGGUAAAGAUCCCCAUAAACAUUUGAAGGAAUUCCACAUGGUCUAUACAAGCAUGGAACCUACGGGGGUAACUGAAGAGCAAAUUAAACAAAGAGCCUUUCCGUUCUCUCUGAAGGAUGUAGCUAAGGAUUGGCUCUACUAUCUACCAUCUGGAAGUGUCACAACAUGGGAGGAAAUGAAGAAGAUGUUCUUAGAAAAAUAUUUUCUUGCUUCAAGGGCAGCAAACAUCUGAAAAGCAAUUUGUGGUGUAAUGCAUGAUAGCAAGGAAUCCUUACAUGAAUACUGGGAGCGUUUCAAGCGACUAUGUGCAAGCUGUCCCCAUCAUCAAAUCAGUGAAGAACUACUUAUCCAGUAUUUUUAUAUAGGUCUUCAACCCACAAAUAGGAGUAUGAUUGAUGCUGCAAGUGGAAGAGCUUUGGUGGAUAAAACUCCUGAGGGCGCGAGGAAUUUAAUUGCAAACAUGGCAGCUAACUCUCAACAAUUUGGCACUAGACUCGACACUCUUUCUAGACAUGUUAAUUUACAUCUUUUGAGCAACAACUUGCGAGUCUAACUUCUCUUGUUCAUCAAAUGACUGUAGGUAAUAUGCAAAUGACGAAGGCAUGUGGAAUUUGUUCGGUGGCAAGACAACCAACUGACAUGUGCCCAACUCUUCAAGAAGAUGAACAAGUUAAUGCAGUAGGCAACUUUCCUGGAGAACCACAAAGGAAUUAUAAUCCUUACUCGAACAUCUACAAUCCAGGAUGGAGGGAUAUCCUAAUCUUAACUAUGGGAAUCAACAAGUGAAUCAACCAAACUUCUAGCAAUACAGGCAGCCAUAUCCUGCUAGACAACAGUAGGACCAAACUUCAAGUUCAGGUAUGCCUUUUGAAGAUAUUGUCGUCUCUUGCCACUAACACUUUGCAAUUCCAACAGGAGACAAGGACAAGUAUUAAAAGUUUGGAUAAUCAGAUGGGUUAAAUGGUAACCUCAAUCAGUAGGCUGGAAGCACAAUGUUUGGGAAAAUUACCCUCUCAAACAAUGGUCAAUCCAAGGGAAAAUGUAAGUGCAAUCUUGCUGAGGAAUGGUAAGGAGGUUGAAAUUCCAUGGCAACCUCUAUAUCAUUGAAGCAAGAAAAGGAGAAAGAUGUCACUGAAAAAAGAGUGUUCCCAAUGAUGAUGGCGUAUCUAAGCGUAAGUUUCCAUCUCUUUCUGAGUAUAAACCGGUACCCCCUUUCCUUCAGGCUUUAGUAGAACCUAGGAAAGAUGAACAUAAUCAUGAACUUUAUGAAAUUUUUCGUAAAUGUGAGGUAAACAUUCCAUUGUUGGAUGCUAUUAAACAAGUACCUUGUUAUGCUAAGUUCUUGAAGAAAUUGUGUACCCUAAAAAGAAAACAAAAAAUUAAAAGGUGUGAAAUGAUAAAGGUAGGGAAAAAUGUUUCUGUAAUCAUUCAAAGGAAUCUCCCUACAAAGUGCAAAGAUCCAGACAUGUUUAGCAUCCCUUGCACUAUAGGUAGCACUAGGAUUGAAAAGGCCAUGUUAGACUUAGGAGCUUCUAUUAAUGUCAUGCCAUACUCUGUAUACGCUUCUUUAAAACUUGGACCUUUGAAUGAAACUGGUGUUAUAAUUCAACUAGCUGAUAAAUCUAAUGCCUAUCCUAAGGGUGUAGUUGAGGAUGUUCUCGUGAAAAUUAAUGAUUUGGUUUUUUCCGCUGACUUCUAUGUGCUUGAUAUGGGGUAUAGUGAUUAAACUAUCCCCAUUCUAUUAGGAAGACCAUUCUUAAGGGUAUUCAAAACUAAAAUAGAUUUUUAUAGUGACAUGCUUACUUUGGAAUUUGCUGAUAAAAUCAGUGAAUUUAAUAUUUAUGAUGCCAUAAAACAUCCUGAUGAAACUAACCUGUUUAUUCUAUUAAAGUGACUGAUAAUUUAGAAUAAGAAGUUUUAGAACCUGAUAAAAAUAAUGCAGUGAAAGUUGCCAUUAAUAAGCAUACUAAGGAUGUAAAUUGGGAGUUAUCCUCGAAUACUGCCUUGUAGGAAAUCAUUGCAGCAUUGAAUGCUUCUCCAAAGUCAGGUAAAAGUUCGUAUAUUAUUUUGCCAAUUGCUAACGAAAGGCCUUUCUAUGCAGGUUUCCAAACGGAUGAAGUGAGAACAUGGGACCUUGGGAACUCAAUUGAUGCCGAUUGAGGAAGGAAGUAAUAAGUCUAGUGAAAAACAAUAAACAAAGGCACUGCUUGGGAGGCAACCCAAGGGGAGUUCGUUCCUUUACUUUUUAUUUUUCUUUUUGUUUUCGUAUUUGCAUUCAUAUUUUAGGUUAAAUCUGUUCUCUUCUUAACAUUUUGCUUUACAUUGGGGACAAUGUAAAUUUUAAGCGUGGGGGAAGGAAUUUAGGUUAGGUUGUGUUUUAAAUUUUCGAUUUGGGUCAUGCUUUCGUUACUUCUGACAAGACAAGAAAAUUUUUUCGCGAAAAUUUGAGGAAAAAGUUGUGAUUUUAAAUGAUUUUUGGUUGCAUGUACUACUUGAUAGAUUCAAUUAGCCUUUGAUGGACUCAUAACAUGAUUGAAUAAGUAAUCUUCCAACUUAGAGUUAAUUAGUAUGGCUAUUCUUUUUGAUGAUGGUAGUAACUAAAUUCUGUAGACAAAAAGUCAAUGAUAUUUUGAGCCUUCAGACUAACACAUGCAUAUCGAUCUCACUAUUUUCUUUCAUGAGUGAUUUUCUUCCAUGGAUUUGUUUCUCUAGAAUUACCUUGAUUCUCUUCGAGGUCAUAUUGAUACAUGCAUGCAUGAACAUGAUUAAAACUAUUUUUAUUACAUCAGUACGCCACAUUAGCUAAAUAGCCUAACCUGUAAUUAAUUUUUUCUUGUUGAACCCCUUUGAGCCUUAUCGCCUUUUCUUUCUUUGAACCCAUGUUACAAGCUUUAAAUUUGGAAAAAACAAUAUCUUUGUCCAAGCCAUAGAGCUAGUGGGGUAUUGUUCUUCAUUUUGAUAUAUGGGAGUGCGAAAAAAAUAAGUGUGGGGGUGUCUCAAAUUUUGGUAGGAUUAUGAUGAUGGAAUGGAACAUGUUCUCAAUUACAAUCCAUAAGUUUCAAUAUUAGUGCAAUAUUUUGAGUUAAAAAAAUCGAAAAAAGAAAAAAAUGAUGAAAAAGAUGAAAGAGAAAAAAGUGAUUGAGGAAAUAGUUUUCAAUGUUACAAAAUUAUUUUAUAUUCAUGAUUCCUCCUAAUAUAUUAGAAGGGAUUGGGUUGUGUGAAAUAGGUGCAAAGAAGUUGUGAGUGGAGAUAUUGAUCUUACACAUUUUAUGUAUACGUUUGAGCUGAGUUAAUUCAUCUUUAGUCCACUAGUUCAAUGGCUUUUGAGUCACUUACUCAAAUACUUCCCACCUGGACCCUAAGCCAUGCUACAACCUAUAGAAAAGGCAUAAUGAUUUAGGUUAUGCAUGUGAUCUGAUUGGGGGAGAAUAAGAAGAUAUGCAAGCAUAUGAUAGAACAUCUCUAUUGGAAUGAACUUGAGCAAAACACUAUCCAUUAAACACAUGAGAGUUGAGUGCUUAUAUUCUGUGAGGGUCUACAUGUUUGGUUUACUCCAUCCUUAUACGAGAAUACUUGCUAAUUGAUUAUAAGUUGUGUGAAAAUGUUUGUUUAUGAUGUGUUAUGUGUUUUGGCUAGUUUGGUCGUUCUAUGUUGAUAGCAUGGAAAUCUUAACAUCUUUAUGAAAGUGAAUUUGAAUUUUACUCGAGGACGAGCAAAAGCUAAGUUUGGGGAAAUUUGAUAAGACAUGAAAUGUCGUGAUUUACCUCCAUUAAUUCUUGUAUUUUUAUGACUAAUUAACACCUAAAUAUUCUAAGUACCCUCAUAUUGUGAUUUACGUUGCAUUUGGAUGAUCAUUGCGUAAAAUAGAAGAAAAGAGUGAAAAAGGACCUAAAUGAAAGAAAUCAAAAGUUCAAGGACUAAAAUACAAAUAUCCAAAAAUUGAAUCGAAAGGAGAAAUGAAGGAGUGAAAGAUUUGAAGUUCAAUUGAUGGAAGACUUAAAAUGUUGGAAAAAGGAAAACAAAAAAAAGAGGCCAAGAAAAGAUAAGAUGAAAGCUCGGGACCAAGUUGCAAAUAAUUCCCAGAUGAAACGAGCAAUGUAAUGAAGAUUCAAGAAUGUUAGAGGUCAAGUGGAUAAGAAAAGAAGUCAAAGGGAUGAAAUACAAUCAAAGUAUAAUCACACAUCAAUUUCCAAUCGAAAAGGUUAUGCAUUGGGACCCAUUUUUGACAAGGUAAACGAUUGAAUUGGAAGAUAACGUCUGAAAAAAGUUGUAACCCUUUGAAUUAGCUUCAAAACUAACUUUGAAUCACCUCAAUUAGACAUCGGGAAAGAACGUUACGAUCAAAACACUGAAAGCUGUCCGGCGGGAAAACGGUUGUUCUAUGCGAUCGCAUAGUUCAAAACCAAUGCGGCCGCAUUCUAACCUUCAGAGAACUUUUGGGCUGCAAAUCAUUGUUCUAUGCAACUGAAACACUUAUAACUAUGUGGUCGCAUACCUAAUUUGAAUCAAAUAUUUGUGGAAACAAAUCUUGUACAACAUAUGUAAGCCCAAAAUCUCGUCCAAACAGAGAGAACGCCCCAACUCUUUUUCUCUCUCUUUGUGCUCAAGAUCUAUGAUGUGCAACUAAUUUCUUUUUCUUGAGCGAAGGGGUCGGAAGCCUUGAAACAAUUAUAACUGUGAGAUCAACCUGAUUUUUAUUGAUUAAUUCAUAUGCUUAGUAUUAAAUCUUCUUCUGCAAUUAUUUUUAUGAUUGUUAUGUUUGAUUUCUAGAGUGUACGCUAGUUUAUUAAUCUCAAUAAUCUAUACCUAAGUUGAAUUUUUAAACUGUAAUUGUUGAUUGGUUUAACUUAUGAAGUAACUAAGAUUGAUAAUUUGCUGGUUGGAAAUUAUUAAAUCAUAGGGAGAAGAUUUAUCUAGGUUAAAUGCAAAUGCUUGGCUUGUGUUAUUUAGUUUAUUGAUUUCUCUAAUUUGCAAAGCCAUCAUUAAAUUAAAUUCUCGCACUUGUCUAGGAUUGUUUGAUAAUGAAGGUUAAUUAGAUCGCUUGUUUCUAAUUUAGUAAAACUAAGGAGAAAUAGAAAAAUUGUUUCGAAUGAAAAAUUUAUUUUUCCCAUUGAAUGCUACAAUUAUGAAUUGAUGAUUAUUUGUGGGUCAAUGAUCGGUUAUUAAUUUCCAAUAGUGGAUGUUGACUUAGUUCGAGGUUUGUUUUAUUGCUUAUAUUUAAUUCAGUGAUUUGUAUUAUUUCAAGAAAACCAAAACCCCCCAUUUUAGUUAAUAUUGCAUCAAAAAGUAAAUAAAUCACUCUUCGCGGGAUCGACCCCUUACUUCCACCAUCGACUUAUUGAAUCCACCGAAGAUUACAGUCCACAUUAGUGUUGCUGUAAGUUGUGCAACCAUGUAGCAUUGCUGUGAGCCGUAGCAGUGACGCCCCCAUUGGUUUAAAACUAGAUCUAAGAAAUAAGGGAAAACUGUGUGCGAGGUGGUUCUGGCGCCGAAUAAGAGGAAGACAGUAGUUUCGCCGCCUGUUGCAGCAACAGCAACGUUGCCACUAUUGUUCUCUGGUACCGGCCCCGUGUCUGGCUGUAGGCAGUGCGUUUGAGAUUGACAUUGUCGAUGAUGGCGUGAUGCUAAUGUUGCAAAUGCGAUUGGAUGCGUUGAGGAAGACAAGGGUAUUGUGGCGGCUCCACGUCUGGUAUUAGGCGGUGUGUCCGAGAUGGUCAUCGCCGUUGACGCUGAUCUUACAAAUGACCCUGGACUUGUGGAGGGAGAGUGGGAUCUGGUGCCUUGGGGUAGUAUAUUAAGGUUUGGGAUUUUGGUCAAUAAAAAUAUUGAUUAAAAUAAAAUUUUUGAUUUUUGAGUUGUGAAACUUUCAACUAGAUUUUAUAAUGUUGAAUUUUUAAGAUAGGGUAUUAUGUAAUUUUCACUUAAAGUUGUCAAUUAAUUUUAACUACAAAUUUAAUGAGGUCCACAACUUUUUAACCAUAUAUUUCAUCAAUUUUUAUCAAAAUCUAUUAAAAAUCUGAUUUUAAUCCCCUCCAAAUAGGAGCUAAAAUCUAGAUUUUAAUGUGUACCAAAUUAAACUCUAUUCCAUUGCAAGUUGCAAGAUGAAAUGUUGAGGAUUGAUAGACACUAACAAUACAAAUUUAAUUUUGAAUAAAUUUGAAGUGGACUAUAUAUAUGUGUGUGCACUCGCUUGCCAAUAAAAUAAAAGAAUUGUAGAGAUAUUAUAUUAUGUUUCUCAAAAGAUGUAACACAAUGUAUUAAAAAAAAAUUUGAAAGAUUUGCGAUACAUUUAUUUGACAUUCUAUGUUAAGACCUUGUUUAACUGCCAUUAUUUUGUAAAAAAUGAUGUUUUGAAUAGUAAUUUUUUGAAAAAUGUGUGACUAAAAAGUACAGAAAAUUUUUAAGUUUACGCACAAUAGUGAGCGUGUUGUUAAAAAUAAGUAUGAGAAUUAAAAAAUUAUGUUUUGAAGGGCGUUGGAAGAAAACGGGCGCCCACGUGGGUUGACCCAACUCAAUUUGCAUAGAGAUGAAUUUUGGAGGGAGGAGUUGAAAAUUAAAUUUGAAACUUAACCUCCCUCAAUCAACUUCUUCCAAAUAACUCAUUUGCACAAGGAAAAAAAAAAAAAAAACCUGAAAACACAUGGUGAAACUCGGAUUUCCAGAAUGAGAGAAAACAACAUGAGUGUUGUGGCUUGAUUUUGGAACAAUAACUUCUUAAAUUCGAUUCUUGGAUUGUGGCUAUAAAAUUCCUUCCUUUGUGAUCGAAUUUCUGACCAGGAAGCAGGUACAAGACAAUGUAGAAAGCAAGCAAAUCAAACACUAGUAAUUAAACCUUGAUUUUGUGAUUUCUGGUAACUAUUACUACUUAGAACUCGAUUAUAAGCAUACAAGCACGUUUUACAUUGGUAUUAGAGCCCAAGUAGGUUGUUUUCUUGUUUAAACACAUGCUGAAAAUGUUUUAGAAUGAUUGAAAUGCAUGAAUUCUAAUUUUCUUCCAAAGCUUAAAUAUCGUUAAUGGCAAUUUUUGAUAUACUUAAUAUAAAUUCAUGAAAUUUGUACUGUAUGUUCAUAAUAUUAUGGAGAAGAUAUUUGGAAAAUUUCACUUCGUUUGGAUUUGUAUUUUGGGAGAAAAAUUGAUCCCUAAUUGAGAAAAUCGAAACUUCAUCGCGUGAUAAUUUCUUGAGCGUUAAGUUUCACACUGCUUAUUUUAUAUGGUUGGAUAGAUCUUCUCGAGACCUUUCCAACGUUAUAAAGAACAUAAUUUUUGACCUUAAAAUUGAAGAAGUUAUGGCAUUUCGAAAUUUUUACAGAAAUUUGGAAAAACUAUUUUUUUGGGAAAGAUGAACAAUACAGGAAAAAAAAGUUGAAAUGAAACUAUUGCAAGGAAGGUAGGAAUUCCAAACUCCAUUUAAAAAAUUACGUGUUGGUCCCUCAAAUAUUGCAAGUGCAAUUUGAAAAAUUGCAUGUUGGUCUCCACACUUUUGAAUGUUAAAUAUUCCAAAUGUAAUUUGGAAAGUUGUAUGUUGGUCCAAAAAUGAUUUUUUAUUAUUAUUCUAAAUUCAAUUUAGAUUGAAAAUUGGUCUCUCAAAUAUUCUUGUUUUUUAUGCAAUUAAAAUAAUUUAUAGAUAAUCAAAUAUAUAUUUAUAUAUUUUUUGGAAAUAGAUUAUUCCAAAUUCAAUUUAAAAUAUUACAAAUUGGUCACUCAAAUAUUCUUGAUUUUUUAUGCAAUUAAAAUAAAUUUCUGAUAAUUAUAUAUAUAUAUAUAUAUAAUUUUUGAACUUGAUUAAAUUUUGAUUUUUUUUAUAAAAAUUAAUAUUAUUUUUGUUAAGUGGUAUUUGCUCUCAUUUUUUAAAUGAAAAAUACUCCGAAAGUAUUUGAUAUGUCACAUUUUCCAUACGUUCAUGAGUGGUGGAUCUUGAUUAGGUUAUGUGAUCCAUUGUUACUAGUUUUCAAUUCUUGUGCUUGAUCAAAUAUGGCUGGAUCAACGCGCACUUUUAACAUCCUUAGAGGAAAAGCUAGUAGAGCAUGGGCUGUGAAACGUAUUGAAAAAUUACAUGCUUAUCGAAACUUUGAAAUGGAUCCAAGACAUAACCUAUUACAACACAUAAAAUAUCUCGUACUGUAGCGUUGAGAAGUGAUACUUUGGGACAGUGUAUAUGUGAAGUGCAACAUAUGUAUCAUUUAGUAAGGACAUUUCCUAAAUAUUGGCACGAUGUUGCUAUUGAAGUUUUAGAUAAUUCACCACUUUUACGCUACAGUUAUUUGAUCAGGAUCUUGAAGAGGAAAUUGAAUUCAGAAUAUAUGAAUUUUAUGAUUAAUUUAGAUAUGUAUGAUUAGUUCAAAAUUAUCGAACAAUGUGAAAUUUUAUUUCUCAUAUUUAGUAGUUGUUUAAUGGUAUUUAAUAUGACGCAUGUACAUAUUUGAUAUUUUGAUAUUAAUGUAUAUGUUUUAUAUUUGUUAGAUUUAUUCAAAAUGUCUCGCUUAUUUUGUACAUGAUUAAUUUUUUAAUUUAGUGGGAGUUCUAAAGCUGAAAGAGUUUAAGUUAUUCUGACUUAGAACCUGUGAUUUUGUGCUAUGAAAUUAAUUUUGUGAUAAUGCAAUAUUAGGAAAAUGGAAGAUGAUUGGGAACUUAGUGAAUUUUUGACUCUGUGUCUAGUUUGAAAUUAUCAUAAAACUUAAUUUACAUGAGUGCAAAAUGAUGUGUGCAUAAAUGGACAUUUAAAUAAUUGGACAGACCAUGGCAUCUAAGAAUAUCAUGCAUGAUCAAAAUAAGGGUGACGAACUGAAUGACGACAACUAUAACAUUUGACGCCAUAAAACUUGGUAUGUACUGGAGGAAUAUGAUUGCCUUGAAUGCAUUAACCACGUGAUGAAAGAACCAGGGAUAGGUCAAAUUGCUCAAUAGAGAAAGGAUCAGGAAACUUACCAAACAUGGAAAAGAAAGAUUCCACUGCUCGUGUAAUUUUGGUAAGUUUCGUGGUGGACAAUCUCAUACAUGAGUGUGAGCAGUUCCCCACUACUCAUGAUAUCUGGACAUAUUUGAGAGAGAAAUAUGAUGGUACAAGUGUGUCUAGACCGAGAUAGCUAACUAUUAAAUUUGACACUUACAAGAAAUUUCCUAAUCACAACAUCAUACAUCAUGUGAGAAUCAUGUCUGCUAUGAUUAGGGAAUUGAAGUAAGCUGGUCACAUACUCUUUGAUGAGCAAUAAGUUCAGGCUUUGAUCCACCCUAUUCCUGAUGAUUGGGAACAUCUGAAAGUCAGUCUGACUCACAAUGAUAGUAUCAAGACAUUUGAAGAUGCUACAUGCCAUGUGGAACAAGAAGAUGAGCACCUUAGUGUGGCAAAAUCUCUGUGACAAGCUUUUGUGGCUGAAUCUAGUUCUGGGAAAGCUUCAAACUUUAAGCGUAAGAAUAACUGGUUCAAAAGCUGGGAAAGGAAAGGGAAAAGAAAAUGAAUAAGGAUAAGAAGGGUAAAUUGUUUUGAAAGAAGAGAGAUAAGAGCAAGUUGAAAUGCUUCAACUGUCAGGUAUUGGGUCACUUUGCUUGGGAAUGCCCUUAGUCAAAGAAGGUAGCUCUUAUAAAUACUUUUUCUAGUGUUGUUUAUGUUUCAAGCACAUUUAUGCUAACUGAAUCUUAUCCUAUAUAGAUUGUAGACUUAGGAGUGACAGACAUGUAACAAGGGAUUGAGAAGCGUUUGUGGAGUUUCGUUGUUUUCCAGCUAGUGCAAAUUGGAUAUAAGUUAACAACGAUGAUAGAGUGGAUGUGAAAGUGAUCGGUACAUGCAAGUUACAUUUGCAUGGUGGCCAUACUAUUCUCCUUCAUGAUGCCCUGUUUGCACUGGGGAUGCGAAGGAACUUAAUUCCGUUGUCUCUUUAAGAUUAGGUUACAGUUUGAACGUUUGUGGUAAUUCUGCUCGUAUAAACAAUAGUAAUGUACUUUAUGGAUUUGGACGUGUAGAAGGUGGCUUUGUAGUGUUGGAUUGUGAUCUAAACACUUAUAACUAUUAUGUUGAUCGUUAUUUUUCUAUGAAUGUAUUUUUCUUCUUCUUCUAAAGAUUUGAAUGUUGAUAUAUCUGUAUGUUAUGCUAGAUUAGGACAUAUUGGACAAGAGAGAAUGAAUAAGUUGGCCAAAGAAAGCUUACUAGGUUUAAUUUCUAAGGUUUAGUUACAUACUUGUAAAUAUUGCCUACGGAAAAACAACAUGAAAAUCAUUUGGUAAAGCCUUAAGAGCUGAAUUUCCAUUACAGUUAGUCCAUUCAGAUAUAUGUGGCCCGAUGAACGUGACAGUAACCAUGGAGCCUCCUAUUUCAUUACUUUUAUAGGCGAUUUCACGUUGUAUAAUUAUGUCUAUUUGAUUUAUUAUAAGUCGAAGGUAUUUGAAUGCUUUAGAAGAUAAUUAAGUGUGAUAGAAAAUUAAAUAGAUAAGAAGGAGAAAGCCUUAAAAACUGACUGAGAGUGUGAAUAUCUAUUCGAUGAGUUUAAAAAACUAUGUGAUGAUAAGGGAAUCAUUGGGUAGAUAACUAUUCUCAAUACACCUUAACAAAGUAGUGUUGCUGAGAGGAAGAUGCUAAAAAUGGUAAAGUCCAUGAUGGCGCAGGCUAACUUAUCUAUUUCCUAUUGGGGAGAUGCUUUGUUAACUAAGACAUAUAUUCUGAAUAGAAUUUCCUCUAAAUCGGUACCUACUACACCAUAUCAGGUUUGGACAGGUAGAUCCGUUGAUUUAAGUUCUCCUAGAUCUUAGGAAUCAACUGCCUAUAUCCAUGAUUCUUCAAAUAAGUUUGGAAAAUUAGGUGUUCAAGGCAAGAAGUGUAUCUUUAUAAGAUACUCAGACCAGUUCAAAGGAUAUGUGUUCAUAGGUGAAAAUUAAGAUGUGACUAUAAUUGAUAUAGAGUCAUGUGAUGUGACAUUUCUUGAGAAUGAUUUUCCUUGGAGGGGAGAAAUUAAAAAGGGAUAACCUUUGUGUGAAUUAGAUGAUAGAGUUGUAUUUGGUGGAUUAACUGAGGUGCAAGAGAAAGCACUUCCACAUGUUGAUCCAAGUGGGAGUAAUUUAUCUCCAACUCCAAGUGACAGGUCACAUUAAAGCUUUCACUUCGUAAGAGUACUAGAAAAAGUAUGCUUAAACGUCAUUUUGAGAUUGAAGGGCAAGUUUUCCUUGUAUCUCUUAAAGAUGGUGAAGAACCAAGUUCAGUACAAGAAACUCUGUCACAUUCUACAAAGGAAAAAUGGAAGAAUGCAAUGAAAGAAGAGAUGGAGUCUAUGAUCGAGUCAGGUCCGGGACUUGGUUGAUCUUCCAUCUGGGUGAAAAGUCAUUGAGAACAAAUGGGUCCUCAAAAUAAAGUGAAGAGUUGAUGGGACUAUAGAGAGGUUUAAGGCUCAUUUGUUGGCAAAGGGUUAUACUUAAUAGGUGGGUAUAGAUUAUGAAAAGAUCUUUUCAAUAGUAGUGAGAUUUACUUCAAUUCGCCUACUCUUAGCUAUCGUGGAACGUUUAGAUUUAGAAUUAAAUCAAAUGGAUGUAAAGACUGCAUUUCUCAAUGGAGAAUUGGAUAAAGAAAUUUACAUGCAACAACCAGUAUGUUUCGUUUAAAUAGGUCAAGAGAAUAAAGUUUGUAAAUUGAAUAAAUCAAUCUAUGGCCUAAAGCUGUCUUCUAGACAAUGGUACUUGAGAUUUGACAGAGCAGUUAUCUCGUACAAUUUUAUCAUAAUGGAUGAAGAUCAUUGUAUUUAUUUGAAAAGGUCCAACGAGAAGUUUGUAAUUUUAUCUCUCUAUGUAGAUGAUAUCUUAUUGGUUGUGAAUGAUAAUGAGUAUAUUAAAAUCAUUAAGGAAUUGUUGUCCUCAAAUUUUGAAAUGAAAGGACAUGGGUGAAGUGGAUUAUAUGUUAGGUGUUAAAAUCCAAAGAAAUCGUUCAAAGUAGCUUCUCGCUCUAUCAUAAGAGCCAUUUAUAAUAAAGAAAAUUCUUGAACGUUUCAAAAUGGAGAAUUGCAAUCCCAUUGACACUACUGUAUCAAAAGGUGAAACUCUAAAUCUUCAUAUGUGUCCUAAAACUCUUAAGGAGAAGGAAGAAAUGUCCAGAGUUCCAUACUCCAGUCGGUUAGGAGCUUGAUGUAUGCUAUUAUGUGUACUCGUCCUGACGUUUGUUAUGUUGUAGGUCUGGUUAGCAGGUAUCAAUCCAAUCCUAGAAGAGAGCAUGGAGAGCUAUUAAAAAGAUAAUGAGAUACCUUAAGGGUAAUGCUAAUUAUUCCAUGUGUUAUCAAGGAAAUGAUUUUUGCUUAAAAGAAUACACAUAUUUUGACUGGGGUGGAGACCUAGAUGAGCACAAAUCAACUUUAAGAUAUGUACUCUUGCUUAAUAAUGGCACUAUCCAUUGGAAUAGUAAGAAAUAGACAUGUACUUUUUUUGUCCACAAUGGAAGCAGAAUUUGUAGAUGUGCUUCAGCAGUACAAGAAGCUAUUUUGUUAAAGAGAUUUUUACAGCAUCUAAAAGUCGUUAGUGGUGAUGUAGGACCUAUAUUGAUCUACUAUGAUAGUUACAUAUACUAAGGAUCCCAAGUAUCACAAUAGAACCAAAUAUGAUAUAAAAUACAAUUUUAUAAGAGACAUCAAAGACAAGAAGGAAGUGAGUUUACAGUAUAUUUCUACGCACCAAAUGUUAGUUGAUCCACUUACAAAACCUAUCCCUGGAGAUGUUUUUAUGACUCAUGUUAAAUGACACGACCCGUCUCGAAUCGCCCUAAUGGACUAGGAAUGUGAUGUGUGCCGAUGAUAGAUGCUGACUAGAUGCCAGAUCCACCACCAAGGCUGACUACGACUUACUACAAAAUAUGUGCCAAAAUCAAAUAUUUAUGAAAAAUAUAAUGCAAUGGGCUUGAAAUAAUUACUUCAUAUUUUACCAAAAUGAAUCAUAUCACUCAAUAUGUGGUGUUUCUCUAAUUCUAAAACGACUAGGCUCCUCAAGCUAUCAGGGACCAAUGCUACCUAUACGAAAAAUCGUGGAAAAAUAUGAGUUCAUAGCCCAGUAGUAUAAGAGUUCGAAAAUAAUUAUACUUUAUCAUUUAAACAUUUUUUUUCACACAUAGACAUCAAGUUCAUAUCGUUUAGUAAUUCACACGAUAGCCUCAUAAAAUUAUAACAAAAAAUAAGACAUUCUCAUAACUCUGUAAAUAUCAUCUCAUAUUCACGAUAUAGUCAUCAGCUGAUAUUUAUACCAUCAUCUUAUCACAUCACGUGUGAUCCAUAAAAAAUUUAUCAUCUAACUAAAAUCUGAAAUCUGUCCCUAGGGUUAGGCACUUUCACCACGGGCUUUGGCCUCCUCUUGCUCGAAAGCGAGUCUCAAAGGCCUCCGAUAAUCAAUUCUAAAACAUGGUCAAGACCCCUCAGUGAACUAGAAGAAGUAUAUAAUCACUGGUACUUUUCUGGUCGAUCUCAAUGUCACAUUUGUCUCAUAUUCCAACUCACAAAUAAUCCAUAUCCAAACUUUAAAUUCCACAUAAAUCAUAGUGAAAGAAUCUUUCCAUAUUAAUCAUGUAAUUAAACAAAUAAUUCGCAUAAUCACACGUAAUGUAAUAGUAUAAGUACGUUAUUACUAUUUGAAAAUAUAUAAGUUUUUCCACUCACAAAUUUAAGUAUGGAUAGCAAUCCAAUUAAAUUGACGGGCAUAUCCAAACUUUCACACCACUACCUAAAAUAACAGUAUAAUAACUCAAAUUAAAAUCUAACAAUUAAACUAUUACAAAUCUACACGCAAUUUUCCUAACUUCUAUAUUUAUUAUUGCCUCUCUAUUUCUUUAACUUUUCCUCUCUUCAAUUAUUUAAUAACAAAUCAUCAAACAUCAUCAAAUCCAUUAAAUCACAAUAAUUUCUUAAAAUCACCACCUUAUACAUAUACUAUACAAACCUUAUAACAUAGUUAGUCCAAUACAUAGACUUCAAUAUUUGUCAUAUAAAUUAAUUCAAACCUUUAAAAAUCUAGAAAUCCAAGGUUUGACAAAAACAGAACUAAAAUUACAAAAUAUAGAAACCUGGUACCAAUUUCUGCAUAUUGAAAUUUGGCAUCAAACCAUUGACAGAAAUAGCAGUUUUCUGGGAGAAUUUCAGAAUUAACACCUGUGUACUACAAUUGCUCGAAAAUAGCUUAAAGUUGCUCUAAAAUUGAUAAAUCCAACCUUAAAUCCUUACAUUAAGUGUUUUAGCACGACAAAAUAACAAGAAAAUCAAAGAAUGUCUUUAUCUCAUAAACCCAUUUCAAAAUUUUACUUCAACAAAUAUUCAACUCCAUUACCUAAUCUCUCUUCCAAAUCUUUGAAGACAAGCCACUAAUUACAAAGCCAACUUUAGCAAUAUUGAACAACAAUGUGCAACUUUAGCAAUAUUGAACAACAAUGUGUUUUCUUACCUCUUGGAAUAGAAGAAAUGAAGAACUUUAUAUUUGAGUCCAUAUUUCAUUUUCUUGAAUAACUUCUUUUUCUUCCCCCUUCUUUUUCUCUUAUUUUCUUCUCCUCUUCUUUCUUUUCUUUUUCUUCCUUCCUUCCCUCUCUUCUGCUUCGUUUCCGUAGACUUCUAGUAUACGAAAUUGUCUCCCAAAAUGACAAAAAGGGAUUACUUAUCCUUUAAGUGGAUAUAUAUUGUAUAAUUGCAACUCAAGUCCCAAAUCUUCAUAUAAUAUAACAUUUAGUCCUUUUAAGUAUAAUAAUAAAACAUUAAAUCUCUAAAUUCAUAUUUAGUAUUAUUUUUGACAUUUUUAAGUAUGAGUAAUUACAAAUUAGGUCCCAUGAAUUCAUUUGUUCAACUUAAGUCUUUAUUUAGCUUUGACUUUGACCAGUUGAAUUACUUGACUUUGACUAUAAACGAGUGAAGUGUAACAUUAAAUCUCUGGGAUAGGGUAGAAUUUUAAUUGUACACAUGUAAACUUUUUCAUAUAUGUCCAUUAAUGAACAAUGUUUUGAGUUCAUAUAUUAAGAGUAAUCGUUUAUUGUGAUUUUAGAUUACUAUUGCACAUGCACACACAAAAUAUGUCAAACAGGUUGAUAUUAGUUCACUCACACGAACAAUCGCCUCAGACACUUUGAGGUGUGCUAAGAUGAGAUAUAGUGAUCAUAUUAUGUACAUGAUCUAGUCACCUUGAUGAGAUAUCAAGAUGAGAUUACAACGAGUAAUUGGAAUGGAUUUAUUUUUGCUAUCCAUUACACCUGUUUUAUAGUCAGAUCGAGUUCUCGAUUUGAGAUUACAUAGAGGAAUGAAUAUGAGGAGAACUCAGGUUAUAUAUCGAGGAAUAUCUGAACUAUGAUCAGUACAAUGUAUUUAAUUUGCAAGAUUAGACAUACGUCCUAAGAAAGGGAGAAAACAUCGUAACAUGUGUUUCAUACCACAUGUGCUUUAACGACCAAUGAAAAAUGAAAAAAAAUUGAUCCCUACUUCUUCAUUGUGUGAGUCUUUGAGGAUAUUUGACCUCGCUAACAUAUCCUUAUGACUUUUGACUGUUUCUCAAAAUUUUAUUUCAGUGUUGCUACUUUAGCAUGUUGCCAAUUAUUAUGGUUGAUUAGGUUUGAUGGACCAUUUCUAAAAAAGCAGCUGCCUUGAAAUGAAGGGAUUCAAGUAAGAAAGGAAGACUAUUUAACUCACACCUUAGCUUGUGUUCACCGCCCGAACAAUUUGUUAAUUAUUUCCAUUUUGUGACACAAUUGUUGAAUAUAAUAUAAAUAAGAAAGUUGAUUAUGUUCUAAAAUACAUUGGGAGGGUCAGAAAUACUUGAAUAGUUGUUUCAAGAUAUGUCUGGGGUAUAGCAAGAAAUAUAAUUCCUCUUCUAGAGAUGUUAUAUAUCCCUAACAAGUGUAUAAUGUUGUGUGCUUUUAAAUUAACUCGCUGAUCACGCGAUCUAUUUACUAGUAUGAACUUGGAGUUGUUGAGAUUAAUAUAAUUGAAUUAUAUUAGAAUCAUGUCAAACCCAUCAUAUGCGAGCGAGAGAUAUUGGAAGAAAUGGGUUGCCCAUGUAGGUUGACCCGACCUGGUUGCAUGGAGAUGAAUUUUGGAAGUCUCUCAAUCAACUUCUUCCAAAUAACUUCCUUUCCACAAAAAAAAAAAAAAAAAAAAAAAAACUGAAAGUACAUUUGGUGAAACUCGAAUUUCCAGAAUGAGAGAAAACGACACAAAUGUUGUGGCUUGAUUUUGGAAUAAUAACAUCUCAAAUUUGGUUAUUGGGCUAUGGCUAUCAAAUUCCUUCCUUUGUGAUCGAAUUUUUGAUUAAGAAGCGGGUACAAGACGGUAUGAAAAGCAAGCAAAUCAAAGGCAAGUAAUUCAACCUCGAUUUUGUGAUUUCAAGUAAGUAUCACUACUUAGAAUUCAGUUAUAAGUAUGUAAGCACGUUUUAGAAAGGGAAAUGAACAUGGGCUCAGUAUUGCAUUACACAAUUUGUUAGAUAUAAUACAGUGUGUUACAUUUUGCCAUUUCAAAUUGUGCAAUUUGACACCAUUAUAAACACCAUCAAAUCUAAUAAAAACCACCGUUUAAUAUCCACCACCACACUGCUACGACAAUAGAGGAAUACACUCUUUUGGAAUCCUCUACAGUUGAUAUAGCUUCUAACGAUCAUCCAACUUAGAAACAUAUGGCAUAACAAACUCUCAAAUUUCGCCAAAUCACGUACUAAAGGACAAUGGUUUCAAUUUCAACACAAGGGUCAAAUUUGACUAAAGAUUCUAAGUAUAUACUGUUACAAUCCAAAUUUUACUAGUCAAAAAUCAAAUGUCGAAUUGUCGAAGUUAAAGUCAAAAGGGACUAAAAUGAAAUAAAUUAUUUUAAUUGGGACUUAAUUUAUUAUAAAAAUAUUUUGAAGGUUUAAGUUGGAAAAAAUAAAAAUGAUGUUGGGAUCCAUUUAUGUAUUUUAGGAAGUUUAGGAUUUAACUUUACAUUCUAUUAGAGAAAAGGGACUUUCCUUGCAAUAUGGAGUAGGUGGACGAGGAAAUGGUGGCAGAUAGCUACCAAAAACAGACAAUUUUAAAAAAUGGCCGUUGACUACUGUUUUAAAAAAAAUAAAAUUGAAAAAUCUGUAAAAACCUUAAAAACAAUGAAAACCCAAUAUUACCCCUAACAAAUCACUCUCAAAUCGACGUCUGGAGAAAGAAGGGGAAGAAAUAGUAAGGAAAUCGACGAUUUUUUCUUGGAAGGAGACUGACUGGCCACCAUUAGAGGCAAAGAAGGAAAGUUUUGCUUAUUUUUCCCCCAUUAAUUUUUGAACCUGGAUGUUGAAGGUUUAUUUUGUUGGAAAUAGUGGUAAAAAUAUUUGUAGAUUAUGUAAAAUUACUAGAAAUUACAUUUUUUGAGAUUUUUUUUGGUUGGAGGUCGUCGAAAAUCGACGAUCUCUGGCACCUAAAUGACUAGAGAAGAGAAGGUGGUCUAGGCUGUCCGGGAAGCACAAAAAUAAAUAAUUAACAUUUAAAUAAUAAUUAAGUGAUUAUUUAAAUGAUAAAUGAAUAAAUGUUAAUAAUCAAAAUGUGUAAUUAAAAUUUAAUUGGAAUAAAUUUCUAACAUUUAAAAUAAAUAAUUAAAUAUUUACCUUUACUUGUUCAAUAAAUAGUUUAAAUAAUCAAUCAAUAUAAAUAAUUAAAUCAAAUAAUUUAAAUGAACAAUUGAAACAAAUAAAUAAAAAAUAUUUAAAUAAAAAUAAUCAAAGCAAGUAAUUAAAAUGUAGAUAAACAAUUGAAAUAAAUAUCUAACAUUUAAAAUAAAUAAUUAAAUAUUCAAUUAAUAAUUAAAAUAAAUAUCAAAUAAACAACUAAAGAAAAAUAUAAUAAAUCAUUACAUAUUUACGUUUAAAUGUUCAAUAAAUAAUUUAAAGAAAAUAAUAAAUAAAAAAUUAUAAUAAAUAAUUAAAAUGAAGCAUUCAAUAAACAAUUAAAAUAAAUGUUAAAUAAACAAAUAAACAAUUGAAAUAAAUAAUGAACAUUUAAAUAAAAAUAAACAAUUUAAAUAACUAAGAAAUAUAAAUUUUUAAAAUAAUUUAUUUAAAUAAGUAAUUAAAUAUAAAUAAUCAAAUUUAAUUAAAUAAAAAAUUGAAAUAAAUUUCUAACAAUGAUUAAAAUGAACUAUGAAAUAAAUAAGUUUACAAAAAUUAGUUUUUCGCUUUUUAUAAUUUGUUGUCUAAUUUUUAAUUCUUUUUCUUUAUUAUCUGGUAUUUCAUGCGUAUAUUACUUACAGCUUGGUUAGUUGAAUUUUGUGACAUUAUGUUUCAAAUAUUCUAACAUUUGAAAUUUUAUAGGAUGGAUUACCAUUUGGACGUCGCCUUGAGGCAGGUUUCUGGCAAAGUUACAGUCGUAGCAGUGUUGGAUUCAUUGGAUAAGGAGCACAUAGAGAUAUUACGUCGAUCAUGCCUAUGACCCCUGUAUUCGCUACGAUCUGUACAAUUUUAUGGACAGUUGAUCGAUUUAUUACUGUGUUGGCUGCUUAAGCCAGUUGAUCGAGAUGCCUUCCACUUUGAUCUUGGGGGUAAGGUUGCUACAUUUUCUAUACUCGAGUUUGCUCUCAUCAUUGGAUUGAGAUGUACGGGCGAAGAGGCAGCGAGGGCCAGUAUUUCGGAGGACAAGAAGUUGUUGAAUGAUUAUUUUAAUGGGCACACAAUAGUUACACUGGUGCAGUUAGGAGAUGCAUUCAGGGGAUGUGACCAGAUGUCCGACAAGUUGAAGUUGGGGAUGGUGUUUGUACUUGAGAGCGUACUGAGGUGUCAUCACAGGAAGACGUCGAUUGACAUUUUUCAUUUGCAAGUUGUUGAUGACAUCGAUACAUUCAACAACUAUCCGGGGGGGGGGGGGGCAGAGAUGCUUUGUCGAUACUUUACACGUCUUCAGUAGGAGACAUUCGAUGCCUAGGGAAAUAGGCCAGAGCAUACGUACGAUGUAUAUGGCAUGCCGUUAGGUAUGUAGGUAAAAAUUUAACAUAAUGAGUUAUCAAUUUUUUUUAUUAAAUUGUACAUAUAAUUGUUGUAGAUAUGAGUCUACGAGACUGUCCCCAUCAUGGCUGGUCGGUAUGCGAGGAGAGGGGAUACAUGCAUCCCUCGAAUGCACUGCUGGCGAGCACAAGACAAGCCCCUUGCAAAAAAAUUAUCAGCUAUCCUCGAUGAUCCUGAGGUACGUAUUAUAUAUUUGAGUUUUCUGUUGUAUGUCAUUUUCGAAAUCUCGAUACGUGGUCAGUAAUUAGAUAAAAUGUCAAUAUGUCAGCUUGAAAUCCUCACUGAGCUGACACUAUCGAUCGAGGAGGGGGAUCAGACUUAUAUCCGUGAGUUGUUGACAGAUCGUGCUGCUCGAGAGAGGCCUAAGUCCAUUGUUGAUUGGGACAUGGUAUGUUAAUUGAAUUUAAUAUAUUGAUUAUCGUUAUAAUUUUUUAAUUAAGUUAUUCAUUUGUAAUGUUUAUUUUUUAGGAGCAUCGUCGAUUGUCACCUCCAUUGAGGGUGUCACAUUCCCCGAGGAUGUCGCCUCUACUGAGGGUGUACCUCCGUCGAGGGUAUUACAUUCCCCGAGGAUGUCGCCUACAUCGAGGGUGUCACCUCUCUACAUGCGAUCACCUUCGCCGAGAGUGUCAUCUCCCUACAUGAGACCACCAUCUUCUGCGUCCAGACACCUUCCACGUGGAUCAACUGCAUGUAGUCAGAGUGCUUCCAUCGAUGAUAUCUUCUGACUUAUGAUGGAGAUCAGAGGCGACGUAGUCGACUUACGACGUGAUGUCGGGAUGGUACAGGUAGUUUAGGAGACUUUUAUGCUAAGGUCAUAGUGAUACGGGAUGACAUAGUAGGCCUGCGUGGGACUAGCGAGUAUCGGGAUGGAGGGGAUGGCGGAGGGACAGGCUCAUGACGGAGGGGAUGACGAAGGGACAGUUGGCUAUUAGGACGAAGUGGGUGACGGAGGGGCCAGUGGUUAUUAGGGUCGAAGGGGUUGGACGGGAUAUGUUGACUCAUUGUGGGCAUUGGAUGAUGCAUUAGCUUCAUAUCUCGGUGGCCCGAUGAAAAUAGAGAUGGAGGAUCGGGCCCCGAUGGAGACGGAGAAAGAGGUCGGGAGAGUACCGGAGGAGGAGGUCAGGAGGGUGUCGGAGGUGGAGGGGGUACCAGAGGCGGAGGUCAGGAGGGUGCCGGAGAAGGAUGUUGUGAGGGUGUCGGAGGAGGAGAGGGUACCCGAGGCGGAUGUCAAGAGGGUAUCGGAGGAGGAGGCGGUACCAGAGGUGGAGGUCGGGAGGGUGCUGGAGGAGGAGAGGAUACCCGAGGCGGAGAGGGUACCAUCUCAGGCACCAGACUCACCAGAUGUAGUUUUUGUGUCGGAGGGGACGAAGGAGGUGGUCCAGAUGGUAGGUGAGGGAGUAUCGGAGAUUGGGAGGGUGUUGCGUGCUGUUGACGUGUCGGAGCUGGUGGUCAGCAAGAGAUCAAGGGCACCAUUACAGUACGUUGUUUCUCCGUUUAUCGCAAAGGCGAAGAGGAGGAGGUUCGUCGACGACACAUACCCAAAUUUAUUCAGGGAGAUGCACCACGCCAAGUGGAAAGCGUUCGAGACGGAGUGGAGAGCAAUUAUACUCGGGUAAGUAUUGUACUAUUCGUUUAGGAUUAGUACAUUACGCAGAUGCUGACACAUCUAUAUUUUUACUUAACAAUUUCUUUUUUUAUUUUUCAGAGCCAGCCGUAAGAUUGCUCAUAAGAAGGUCUCGGAUGCUUAUAUGUGGUUUCACGACAUCACCACUUUGGGGUUUUGGCUCGCCGAUGAUGUAAGUGAAGUAGUAAUAUUGUUAUUUAUUAGUUUUGAAUUUAUGAAAAUAAAUAACUCCUUUUUUAAUUGGUGUUUCCUGGUGUAGCACAUUGAUUUCACCAUGGAUUUGCUACGAGAUCAAGCUAAACGACAUCGAAGAUCGUUCAACAUUUCUAGCUGACUUAUAUUGAAUACUGAAUUCAUACGUGCCAUUGAGAUUGAGUACCAGACAUUCCAAGCUAUGGGUAGCGAGUACACGGUGCCUACAUACAUGAUGGAGUGGGUCGUAGGGAUGUGGCCAAAUGUCGAGGGAAAACCAUGGGAGGGUUGUGCGCAUCUGUACGUCUCAGUGUGUGUGAAUCAUCACUACAUUGCAGUGAAGAUUGUAUUUGCCGACUCGACUAUGUAUGUGUAUACCUCGAUCAUUCGUGCCUGAUACAAGGUCAGCUCGAGCAAAAUCUGGAGUCGGUGUUUGUGAUCUUCCCCAUGCUACCGUGCAGGACACGACGACGGCGAGACAGCAAAUAUCGUAAGUGUUUAUUAUUUUAUUUUUGUAAUUUACAACUUACAUUCUAGUUAGAUGGUGAUGUGCUAAUACAAUAUUUUGUAAUUGUAGGAGUGAUUGCGGCAUGUUCGCUUUCAAGUACAUAGAAUUUUUGAGUGUAGCACAGAAGGUUGAUGUAAUCAACCAGAUGUGGAUACAAAAUUGGAGAACUAAAUUAGCUUGUGAUUUAUUUGAAUUUAAUGAUGAUCCGUAGAUAUUGGAGCCGUGUUUUUUUUAAAAAAAUAAUUGUAUAUAUUGUAACGUUUAAAUAUUAUAUAUUUCAUUCAUUCAUUCAUUUGUAAUUACGAAAUAAUUGUAAAAUAUAUAUUAUAUUUUUAAUAUUUAAUUUUUAUUUUUUAGUUUAUGUGUUUAUUUAAAUGUUUCAUGACGUAUUUAUAAUGUUUUGGUAUAUUGUGGAGAACACACUGUAUUUUUAAAAAAUAACUUCAAAUAUUACGAAACUAAUUAAUGAAAUAUUGAAAUAAAAAAACUAAAUCUAAUAAUUAACAUUAAGAAUAUCCAUAAAUAAUUAAUAUCAAUAUUAUAAAUAAUGUUGCACAAACUUCAAUUAUACAUUUGUUACGUUGUCAUGUAGAGGGAUCUGACUUGUACAAAAUCUUCUGGUAUGUCUUGUUGCACCGUACCUUCCGUACUUACGAGGUCGGGAAAAUUAUCCGAUCGAUAGUAUUCUAAACGUACGUGUAUGUCCAAGAGUACGUGGGCCGACUGCUGGUGGCAACAAGUUAUUUAAUGAGAGAAUGAGAUCGGGAACUUCCCACUCGGCUUCGUUCGGUACAGAAAAUAUGGUUUCGGCAUAUGCUGCUCUCCAAGAACCAGUCGUGUAAUAAGCACAGCAUAAGGUGUGUAGUGGAAUUCCUCUAUACAUAGCCACUGCCACUGCAUGUGUACACAGAAAACUCUCAAACUGAAACUGUAUACACGUGCACGUGUUAUCAUUCAAGUCGACGAUGUAUUCGAAAUUACAUGCACAUCUCGCAGAGAAGCGAAACUGAUCCAGUGGUUCUACACCUUCCUUGCCACCUCUAGAGUCUUGAAAAGUUUAUCUUCCUGAGUCGGGGUUAGCACACUUGUGCAACUCUGUGAUUCCUCACGAUGAUCAUGAGAUCACUGUUACAACUUGUCACGAAUGUUCUCAAGCAUUGUGAGAAUUGGUAACUCUCGAUCCUUCUUGAAUAAGGCAUUGAGCAACUCCGCAUUGUUCGAUGUUAUCAUGUUGUAUCGAUGUCUUGGAAAAUGUGAUCGUGUCCAAUGUUCGAUCCCCAUCUCUGUCAGAUACUCCCAUGCAUCAUAGGAUUUACUUUCUAUUUUGACCAUAAACUUUUCAAGCUCUUGAAAACUGUAAGCCUCUGCAGCUCUCCUAAACAACGUAACGAUGCCCUUACCUCGAUACUUGGUCUUCAGAUUUCCUUGUAUAUGGUACAUAAAAUAACCAUGAUGUGCCUUGGGGAAGACUUCGGUGAUACCGUUAAUUAUUGACUGCCCUCGGUUGGUUACGAAUGCAAGGUUCUCGAGAUCCCCGAUUACUUCCCUCAACUUCGUGAAAAACCAACGCAUCGGCAGAUCAUUUUCUCCGUCAACUUUGCCGAAUGCAAGAGGGUAAAUUUGGAUGUUAGCAUCUUGACAUAUUGCAAUAAUCAACUUGCCCCCAUAUUUCGCCUUAAGGGUUGUACCGUCGACAAGGAUUAAGGGUCGCAUUACGUUUCGAAAUUCUCGAAUGCAUUGUCUAAGGGUCAUAAAGAAAUGUUUGAAGUGAUUCUCGUCAUCAUUCUCAAUAAAAAAUGCCAAUCCAGUAUUAAUUCUUCCCAUAUUAUAGCAAAAUCUGACCAAUUUAAAUAAUCAAUAAUCAUAAUUUAAAUAAUUAAAUAAACAAUAUUAAAUAAACUGAAAAAUUAGCAAUUGAAUUAAAUAAUUAAUUAGACAUUAAAUAAAGAAUUGAUAAUAAUUAAAUAAAAAAUUGAAAUUAAUGAUUGAAUUAAAUAAUUAGUUAGACAUUAAGUAAACAAUUGAUUAAAUAAUUAAUUAAACAAUUGAAAUGAAUAAUUAACAUUUGAAAUAAAUAUUAAAUAAAUAUCUAGACAAAGAAAUACCUGGCCAAUUUAGCAUAACUCUCCUCGGUCGAACCCAUCAAGUCCUCCAACGCAUAUUCUUUUACCUUCCAAGCCUUCUAAUAGCUCAUGACCACCUCGUACUCUCGACGAACGUCAUUAAUGAUGUUCGAAGAUUUGUAGAUUGUUCGUAGGUCCUGAAACUUGUGCAUUACUUCUCGAUCAAUGAACCAUGAUCGGGCUAGCCUGUGAUCAUUUCGACGAAUACCCAUUUCGCAAGUGUGUUCCCGUGCAUACUUACGAACUACAAAGAACUCAUUUGUGUCCAUUUUCGUUGCUCGCAAACGUCAAAGGCAACUGUCGUCAAUGCAGACAAUUGUGUGAGUCGAUUUGUUUGAUUUCUUCACUUAAACUCAAAAUUGUGUUUCAAAGCAAUCCGAUGAACAUCUUUUUGCAAAUCUUUCUUCGUGUCAAACAGUUGCUCGACAUACAAAUUUUCAUCUUUGAGGACCACGUGAACAAUUAGAGGACCGUGCACUCGGUCUAGUCUGUGAGCUCCCACUCGACUCAUAUCUCAAACGGGAUAAAAUAAUCAAAUUUUCAUUUGUAAAGUCAUUAUCUCUUUCGUUGUCUUGAACUGCCGAGCAAAUUAUGUGUGUUACAGUGAGAUCAUGGUGAUGAGCAACUGUCUUUGGAAUAGCCACAACAUCAUCACGCACUAUUUCCACUGUGUCCCAAAACUCAUUCACAUUACGAUCCCCUCCAUUGAAAUUUUCGUGUUCACUCUUGAGGACAUUCUUCUUCAUCAAAGUUACACAAAUAGGAAUCGCACGUUUCUGAUUCAUUUUAAUUAAAACCUUCAUUUCAGUUUCAAAAGUAACCAUUAUAGGUAGAAUUGAAAUGGAUGUAUGCUCGCCCAUUUGAAAAUCCAAUUCCAUGUCAUACUCAGAGGGAUUGACUUUCUGCAAGUUCUGUAUCUCUUUGUAUAUUUUUGUAUAUGAUGUACUUGAUGUUAUUACAAUUGCAGUACAACCAUGUCUUUCACUCGUCAAUUUCCACACCCAUCGAUCAUUUUCAUUCUUUUCAAAUUCAUCAAAGUAACAAAUUGGGAUAGCAGUUGAUCCCAUAUUUGCAUUAGAAAACAUCAUUUAUUAAAAAAAUUGUAAUUACGAGAAUAAAAUGAUGAAAAAAUAUGACACACACAAUCAUAAAUAAAAAAAAUCGACUCGGGCUCUCCAGGCCGACUAUUUAACAUCCGGCCUGGGCGUCCAGGCCGGAGGUAACAUCCCAUCCAGGUGUCUAGUCGGCUGUCUUUUCUAUUUUGCUGAUCUGAACGGAUGAAUUUUUUUCCUCGUUUUUGCUAAAAAAAUUAUACAUCCAUAAAAGACUGUAAUAAUUUAUUUUUCUAAAAUCAUACGCUAAAAUAAGAUUUAAAAAUUCAAACAAUGUACUAAUUUAACUAAAAUAAAAUUAAAAAUACGUAUUUAUACUUACAUAUUUCAAGUGCCGACUGUGAGUAAUAUUUUUUUGUUGAGCCUUUGAUAAUUUUGUGAGAUUUCAAUGUUCAAGCAGAUGAAAGAGAAAAUUUCUUUUUAAUUGUGUAGGAGAAUCUGAUAAGGAAAGUAAUUUCGAUUUGAAAUUUAAGUGGGAGUAUUUGGAUUUAUUAAUUUUUUAAAGAGGGCAUUAUUGUCUUUUGAGCAAAUGAUAUAUUUUUGUAAUUACAAAACAUAAUACGAGCAAAAAUGACAUUUACUCUUCAAAAGGCUCUUUUGGUGAAUGAUAAAAAAAUUUUUGGUCAAUGUGAAAAAAUGGUCUUUUGAUUAGGUCUUUCUUGAAAGUACCCCGUAGGUGGACCUUUAUAUUACAACCUUUGAACCAUUUUACAAUUAAAACACACACAAACACACACUUAAGCCGGCAGAGAGAGAGAAAAUGUAGAAAAGAAAGAAAAAACCAAGGGAAGAAAAGAGAAAGAAAGGAAGGAAAAAGAGAAGGAAAGGGAAGAAGGAAGAAAUCUUGUACCGACUACUUCAAGCUUGUUUCUUUAGUUCUUCAAGAGGUAAAGGUUAAGAAUUUUUGGUAUAGUUAUGGUAAAUUUUUUUAGGGUUCUAAGAAAUUAUGGGUUAAUUUUCAGAUUGAUGGAAGGAGCGUGAUUCCAAGCCAAUCUUUUGAUUUGUCGAAGAUUUUUUGUGCCAAGGUAAGAAAUACCAACUUCUAGCAAACGCUAGAUUUUUAAAUUGGAUAAUUGAGUAAAGAUUUAUUGUGGAAAUGAUCAUGUGAUGGAAUUAUUCACUUGAAAGAUGGAUUUUAUGGAGCUAGAUAUAUAUUAAAUUGGUUGAAGUGUGAUUGCUAGUUUUCACUAGAUUGGAAGGGAUAAAUCAUUUUUAUGCCUUGGAUGAAGAUUAAUUGAAGGAAUCGGUUAUUAGUAAAGGACUAGAAAAUGGAAUCAACUCCAAUUGAUUAAAGGAAAAAUUUGGGAAUUUAUUUAAGAAUUGAGAAAUUUAAUUUAGAUAUUAUAUUAUUAGGGAUAGAAGUGUUCUUCUUUUAAUAGUGGUUAAAUUGAUUAUUUUGUAUUGUAUUUUAGGUGGUGACGAGAAGAUCGGAAAAGCCUACCAACCAUCUUAGGCUAUAGUUUGACUUGUGAGUGGAUAUAAACUUAUUUUUCAGUAAUUAAUAUUUAUUAAUUUUAUAUUAAAUCAGAAAGUUUACUAUUUCCUACAGUUGAUUUGACAGCAUGAUAUUCAGAAUGAAGUGAAUUUAUAAUCAGUUGUUUUUAAAGUUAAAUCUAGUUUAGUUAAAUUAAUUCAUUGGCAUAUUAUUUCAGUGUUAAAUAUUUUAGUAUAUUUAAAAUUAUUUUUAAAACCACCAGGAGGUACUCAGGUGAUUUACCCUGGUCUGCACUUGUGUGAAUAUGUUUCCGCAGUGUAUGACUCCAUACGGUUAUUUUACCGCUCUGCACUGGUGUGGUUUCCACAGUGUAUGAUCAGUUAUGGUGAUUUUACCCGCUCUACACUAUUGUGAAUGUGUUUCUAUAGUGUAUAACCAUACAUAGGCUUUGGGCCGUGUACUAGGGUGAUUAGCCUUUGUGGCACCUCUGUGUACGUAUGACUAGAUUAUCAAAUUAUCAGAUGUGAAUGACUGUCUUGUACAUCGAGAUUACUCUGUGCAUAAGUAAGGCCAUUCAUUGGGUACUUUUUUGUGUGACUUUCAGUAAUUUGCAGUUCAUCAGUUUUCAGAUUACUGAAUUUAGCCAUUUUAGUUUAUAGAAUAAAGGUUGUAUCUUAUAGUACAAUAAAAGAACAUUUUUAUUAUAUACCAGUUAUAAGAAAGUUGGCAUAUCUAGAAAAUAUAUAUUUACUUACGAAAUAUCCACUCACUGAAUUAUUGGAUAAUAUUUUUAUCACAUUUUUCUCUUAUCAAAUAGUAGUUGAGUUGAGUACCAUUGGGCUAGUUGAUCUAUCGAGUUGAGACAUACAUUGUUAAGCAUUGUAUGAUUCAUCUUAUCGGUUUAACCACUGAUUUUUAUGAGGCAAUUAUAAUCGAGACUCUCAAGGAGCCGUAUGAGAAACAUUUCAAGCUAGUUCUCAAGGCAUUGAAUUUUAAUAAACAGUAAUGAAAACUUAAAAGCAUCAACUAUUGUUCAUUACGAGAAAUAUUCUUGAUCUAAGGUUGUAUAAAGUUGUUUUAGAAACAACGACCUUUGCUUGACUUUUGCAAAAUAGUAGCAACUAUGAGAUUUUGCUUCACGUAAAUUUGGAAAUGUUCAAUAUCCAUUGCCAUCAAAUUUAUUGUUUAGUGAUAAGUCCAUUUUAUGCCAUUAUCUGAACUUCAAUCCUAUUUAUUUAUCACUAUAUUGAACAUAUAUCUGUUUAAUCUAUGUUUUAUAAUUGAUUUAGGUAAAAUUUGGAUUGGACAAGUUUGUACGAAACUGAGUUGAAGCAGUAAUAUAAAAUUGAAGAAUUGAGGACCAAAAUAAUCAAUUCUUAAAGUGGAGAACCUGUUAUAUAAAUAAAGUGGACUGAGCUGCACAAGAAAUUAAUAUGGAGGACCAAAGUGCACAAAAUUGGAAAAAUAAUUCAGUUUUCGAUGGUUUCCAAAUAACACUCAAAUUUCACAUCGGGGGUGCUUUAAGAUUCCUUUUUAAAGUUAUUGUAGACUUCUAUAUAUAGUUUUAACCAUUCUUUUUUGUGGGACACAAUUUUAGAAAGAAAACAUACAGAACAUCAAGAUAAAAAGGCAAAAAGUUGGGAUUCGAAGAUUUUUGGGAUUAAAAGAGAUUUUUGGUGCAAAAUUCAAUUCUUUCCAUCAUUAGUAUGAGUAUUUGGAUCAUUAGUUAGGACAAACAAUAUAAUUUAUGUGUAAUCCUUUGAUUUAAUUUUCAAGAUUCUAAUAGGUUAAUUUUUAUAUUUUGAUUUUAUUUAUGAAGUUUAAAGCUUUGAAUUACUUGGCUAAUAAUUCGAAGAUCUUGUAGAUAUAUAAUGAAACGAGAAGCAAAAUAUAGAUUUAGGUCAUAAAAUUCGAUAAUUAGUAUAGAAGUGUAAAGACACAUUUUUCUAGUUAGCAUGGUUGUUCAUGGAUUCUUAGAGAUAUAAGGUGUUUAAUUAAGAUUUAUCGGAAUUCAAAUAGAGAUAUGGAAUUAACUAUGUUAAAUAUUAUCAAUUUGAACUUGAUAGAGAUGAUAUUGAAUAUGUUAGAAGAAUUUGACUGAACAUUAAAAUGGGUAAAGAAAUUUGAUUAGCUAAUUAAAGGGGAUUCAUGGAUGAAAUUACAAGUCCUAGCAUCCACAUUCAUACUUUAGAACCCAAAUUUUAUUAAUUAUAGGGCGUAGAUAAAUUUAGUAUAAUUAGAAUAAUUUAGCUAACUAAUCACAAACCAUCUUCUUUAUUUUUCAUCAUUAAGGAGUUAGAAAUAAUAAAUUAAGAAUUAAAUAAUAGUUCUCAUGGGAACAAUCAUCCAAGCUCAUUGGUCCACUAUAUUAUUUAUUACAAUCCAUAUAUAUAUAUAUAUACCUAAUCAAUCAUUUAAUGAUUGUGUGCAUGACUACCACAAAAAAGAAUUAUAAUACGACAUAAUUCAAAUUCAAAAGUCACGAGUUCCAAUUCAAGGACUGUUUACAUAAAUGUCAUGAAAGCAUGGGAGGAGGGAUGGAGAUGGUGAGGAGCCACCGCCCAGCAACAUUUUAAAAAAAAUUUUAUAUAUUUAUUUAUUUAUAUAUUUAUUUAUGUAAAAUGAUUUUUAUUUGAUAUGAUCAAGUUGGUAACUGCAAUAGGAAGAUCUACCAUUUCAUGAAAGACUGCCGUGUUUCCAUCUCUACCAAUUUUAGAUAAAGCAUCUGCAACUUGGUUUGCUUCCCGAAAAACAUGUCUAAAAACCACUUCUCUUCCCAUCAUAAGAUCAUUUAUUUCCUCCCAUUCUUUCUAGAAUUUCCAUCCUGUACAUCUUUUAUUGAGGAACCAAUUCACAACAAUUUGAGAAUCGCUUUCAAUAAUAAUCUUUCGGAAAUUAAGUUCCACACAUAUGCGAAUGCCAUCCAGAAUAGCUUUUAGCUCCGCCCAUGUAUUGGUGCCAUGACCAUAGAACGUAUGAAAGGCACAAAUAAACUCCCAUUUAUCUGCCCUGAUUACCCCACCUCCACCACAAUUACCAGGAUUUCCUAUACAACAUCCAUUAGUAUUUAGCUUAACCCAAGUAGGGAGAGGAGGUAUCCAACGAACAAACUUUGUAAUCUUAUUAAGCAGUUUUCGAAUUUGAAUUCCCAAAGCUUAUAAGACAUUACAAUCAGACAAAGAUAGCCUAGAUAUCUUAGCCGCAUUAGCACAUAGUUCGCCAAUCCACCACUUUACUUAAGCCCAAAUCUGAUCAAAAUUAAUAGCAAGACCUUCCAUUUUUUUUUCGACACCUAGCUAUCCAAAUAGCCCAUAAAAUCAAAACAGGGGAAAAGCCAAUAAUCAUACCUACUUGCGAAGUUUGUGAUGCUUUGGAGAACCAAGAAUUCAUCCUUUGCCUCCAACCCAUCGAUGUAAUGUGAGAGAUGCCUAUGACCGUUGAUAACUGAACCCAAAGGACUUUCAUCAGAUCGCUUCAAUCCAACAAAUGGUCAAGGGACUCAAUAUGGGGUCUAACACAGCAUACACAUUUUGAGGCUAAGGCUAUCCCCACCGUUUAUAUUCUUUCAUCCACAUCGAGUGCAUUAUGUAUAGCUUUCCAAGUGAUGAAGAAGAUUUUUUUUUAGAAUUAAUGGAUGCCAUACCCAUUUAUCCCAACCUACACAUUCGCAUUUAGCUCGUAUAAGCUCCCAAGUACUACCAGUACUGAACAAACCGUCAGGAGAUGGUUUCCAAACUGCUCUAUCGAAUCCUCCACGUAACCUUGGAACAUGUUUUAUUGCAGUUUUAGCUAACUCACUUCCAAUUAAGUCUGAUAGGACAUCUUCCUUCCAUCCCCUUGAGGUCACCAUAGCAUUUAACCUUAGAUCAGGCUCCAAUAUCUCCACGAGGUUAGAUAAUGGUCCCAUACCAGACCUAUUAUCUUGCCAAAAAUUAACAUCUCUGCAUUUGAUAUGCCAUACUGAAUUAUCAAUGACCAUAGGUAUCAAAUUGGCUAUGCUCUUCUAGAAAUGUGAGUUCAAAGUUGAAAUCUGAAUCUCAUUAUAAGAGUUGUGAGGAAAAUACUUUGCCUUUAGGAAGGCUUGUAGUGGAGAUUCUGAGAAACAAAUUUUCCAAGCAAAUCUUGUUUUUAGAGCCACUUGUACUUCUUCUCAGUCACGAAUGCCUAGGUCUCCUUCUGACAAAGGUUUAGUAAUUUUUUCAAACUCACCCAAUGAUGUUUGGCCUUACCAUCUGCCUCUCCCCAAAUAAAUUUUGAGAUCAAAGAGUGAAUCUGAUGAAUAACCCCCUGUGGUACGCACAUAACCGAUAAGAUAUGUAUAGGCAUGCUUGAGAGAACAUGCUUAACAAGACUUAAUCUUUCUCCAAUCGAUAAGAGUAAAAAUUUCCAGCCUGAUAUUUUCUUUUUCACUUUCAUAACCAGUGGCUCGAAAUGUCUAAUGGACAAACGGCCCGGAGAUAUUAGCGUACCCAAAUAGGUAACUGGAAAAGACCCUUCUGAGAAGCUACACAACUGGAGCAAUACAUUCUUUCUUGGUAAGGAUAUGUGCUUCGAAAAAAAUAUAGCUGAUUUCUUGUGAUUUACUUUUUGUCCAGACAUAUUUUCAUAGAUACAUAGAACCUCCACCACUGCUUUAAUAGACGAUUUGCUUCCAUUGCAAAAAAUAAUUAGAUCAUCAGCAUAUAAUAAGUGAGAAAUGCGAGGUGCUCCAACAGGGAGAGAUUAAUUUCCAAUGUGUUGAUCCAAACAAGCCUGUCGUAGCAUGCAUGUAAGAAUCUCUUCUGCAAUAAUAAAUAGGUAUGGAGAGAGAGGUCUCCCUAGCGAUUCCCUGGGAAGAUUUGAAAAACCCUUGAUAAGUACCAUCAUCAUCAUUGAAAAUGAAGGUGAAUCAAUAUAGUUUUGUAUUAGCCGGCGAAAUCAUGUAGAGAAUCCAAAAGCGUUUAGGACUGCCAUUAAGAAAUUCCAUUCAACCCUAUCAUAUGCCUUCAUCAUAUCUACUUUAAGCAUUACAUUCCCACCUCGUACCUUUCUAUUAAAACUCCGAAGUAGCUCUUGUACCAGGGCAAUAUUGUCAAAAAUACUUCGAUCCCCAAUGAAAGCCCCUUGUUCGUUCGAAAUAAAAUUAGGAAGUAAAGGUCGCAAUCUGUUAACAAUUACCUUAGUGAAGCAUUUGUAGAUCACAGAACAUAGGCUGAUGGAUCUGAAGUCUCCAAAGUUGCUAGGAACCUUGACUUUCGGGAUAAGAACAAUAUAGGUUGACGUGUAAAAAUUGGGAAGCAUGGAACCACUAAAGAAAACAACCGUAGCCUCCCAAACAUCUUCUCCAACUAUAUCCCAACAACUCAUAUAAAAACUAGAUGAGAAACCAUUAGGGCCAGGGCUACUAUCCUGUGGAAUGCUUCCUAUUGUAGCUUUCACUUCCUCGCGAGAAAGAGUCUCGCACAAUCUGAUAUUAUCUUCCGAUGAUAUACUCGGUGUAAUCAAUGAAUUCAACAAUUCCAUCUCCGGUAUGACAUUCUCAGUAGUAAGUAGCUCAUGAAAAUAAUCAACCGCUCCGUUAUGGACCGAUUGCGGGCUGUCAAGUUUUGAUCCAUCCUGUAAAGUCAUGCUGUAAUUCCAAGAUUUUUUUCGACGUUUGGCAAUUGACGCAUGAAAGAACUUGGUAUUAGCAUCCCCUUCUUUUAUCCAUUUCACUUUAGUUUUUUUGAGCCAAGAAGAUUUCUUCCCGCCGAAUCCAAUCCUUCAAUUUAAGCCUUGUCGCAAUUAAUUCCUUUCAUCCUGCACAUUAUCGGAAUUUAAUACUUGAUCUUCGAGCCUAAAAAUUUUGUCUUCUAACUCCACUAUGCGGCAUUUGAUAUUCCCAAAACCACUUUUGUUCCACUUUCGCAAAAUUGGUUUUAACCUCUUCAAUUUUUCUCCAAGUUUGAAUAAACCUGAAUUUCUAGUUGGGUUUUCCUAGUUUUCUUUGACAAGAGGUAGAAAAUCCGCAUGGUCUACCCACAUCCGCUGGAAAUAAAAAGGUGGUGGUCCAUAACAUUCUUGCUGAGCCAAAAAUUGAACUAACAAUGGGCGAUGAUCAGAACUAGAUCUCGGUAAAACCUUAGCACAAGCCACUUCAAAUUGAGUUAAGAAAGAAUUAUUAACUAAGAUUCUGUCUAACUUCUCCCAAAUGCAUCCUCUCCCCUCUUGCAUAUUAUAACAUGUAAAAAUCGUACCUUCUGUUUGAAGAUCUUGAAAGCCAUAGGUUGAUAUACAAUCAUUAAAUCCUCGCUUUGGUAAAUUUGGUUUCGGUAUCCCACCAACCUUUUCUGCAUCACUACGAAAAAUGUUGAAAACACCACUAACUAGCAAAGGUAUGUCCUGGCGUUGCAUAUUAACCAAAUCCUUCCAUAAGUCUAAGCGUCCAAUUUGAAAGAAGCUUGCAUAAACAACAGUGACUAGUCAAGAGACCCCCUCCUUAGUAAAUAUACCGGUAAUAUGCUGAUGUGAAACCGAUACUUCCUCAAAUAAUAAGUCAUCCUCCCAAAAAAGCCAGAUUUUCCCUUUAAAUAAAUGAUUUGAGAAAUAAUUAGGAAGACGUAACCUGCGAGCUCAUCUUCUAAUCUUCAAAAUUGACUGCAAAGGUUCUAAUAUUGCUACAAUACUUGGAUUAAAUUUAGACAUAAUAUCCUUGAGUUGAGUCAUGGAUGUUCCCAACCCUCUAACAUUCCAUAUCAAUAGUUUGUCCAUCAUUUAGAAGAACUUUUAGAACGUGUUAGAACCUCGGACAACAGAACGACUUUUUUCUUUCUUUGACGUUGUGAAGUGGUGGAUUCGACCUGUGUCAUCUUUCCAUGCUUAUCCUCCAAAUCCCCACCAAUAGUACAUUUCACAGCAGAUUUCCUCUGUUGCAAUAGUUCAGCCGAAACAUCAAGUUGAUAAUCAUUCAAUUCCAUUUGGCUUGGGGGCUGAGCGGUCCCAUUUGUUUCCUAUAUUGGCUCCUCUGUUAUACCCACUUCUACCUCGAUAGCCUCCUUCACAUGUUGAAUAAAAAUUUCCAGUUGCAAUAUGUCACGAUAAUUACCAAACUCCUGUAGAGGGGUUUCAUUUCCUGUGUUUUCCUCUAAGGUUAAGCAUUCAUUUUGGUGUUCAACAACAAUAUGUUCAAAAGACUUAAUUUUAUCUUCAUUAAAAUCUGGAGCCUUAGGCAAAUCUCUAGGUUCUUUCAAUACUUCAAUCACAAUUUCAGCUUCCUCAGUAGAAUGAGUCAUCUGUUGCUCUAUUGUAAUCUUAUUCCCAAUUUUACCUGUCAUGAUUUCAACAUCUUCAUCUAUAAUAUGAUAUUCUGUAGAGAUAGGAUCCAAAGGUAGAUUAUUUUUUGAUGGUUCCCCUUCUUCCAUCGAGCAUACAAUAGGUCGAUAUUCCUGGCGCACCCGACUUUGUUUGAGCAAAUUCUCCUCACAUUUGGUUUUGUCUUCCACCAUCUUUCCGGCCUGAAUUGAUUUAAGUCGUUUGCACGUUCUAUCUGAGUACCCCUGGAUAUAAUAGUGUUGACAAAAUGCCGACAAUGUUUCAUUCACAAUUUCUUGAUAAUGGCUUGCAGCAUGUCCCAGAGGUCCAAUCUAGAAAAAAUCAAGUCGUGUUUUCGUUAGAUCCAUCUCAACACAUACUCUAGCCCCCUCAAGAUGUGAACCACAGAUAGUCGCAUUGUUACGCUUUAGAAAAUGUCCAAUUCCCCUAACCAAAAUUUGCAACAUGGAUUGAUAGAAAAAAUUGGGAGGCAGUCCAGGAAGAAAAAUCCAUACCGGAGAGAAAGGGGGUUCCUUAUCUUCUUUGAAAUCGGCUGUCCAUUUGAACAUUCUGUACGGCACACCGUUCAUGUCGAAUAUUUUCCUUGAAAUUACAGUAACAAAAUCUGCCUCAUUCAUGAUACGAACCAGAACAUGUUGAGGAUUUCUCAUGGCCCCGAUCACAUGCAUCUCUGAAAGUCCCCAUCUUACUUUGAUAUAGCCCCGAAUCUGGUCAACAGAGGGGCGUUUCCUCAAGAAUUUUAGCACCACCGCAAACUUCAAAGGCUCAGCAAUCUUUUGGAUCUCUUCAUGUGUGAAUUGAUACCAUACUUGUCCAUCCGAAUUUGUCUUUGGUUCUUUCCAAGGAAUUUCUAUGCUAGGUAGAGGAGUUGGUCUCCCUACCACUAUAUCAUCAAAGGUUUUUCCUCUUGCCACCAACGCUGUCACUCCUCCGCCACCUUGUUGAGUAGGCGGUGGCGCCCUAGGGUUGGCCAUGGUGGCUACCCUAGUAGAAGGAAGAAAAUUGCCCAGGAUUCUCCAAAAUCGCCACUCCACAAAAACCUAAUUUUUUAAGCGACUCAUUCUACAAUCCAUAUAUUUGCUUGAUAUAAAAUUGACAGCAAGUUUUUGGUGCCAUUGUCGGCAACUAAUUACAUUUAAUCUUACUUUAUUUUAUAUUUUGAAUUUUACUUGAUUAGUUUAUUUUUCUUUCUUAUAUGUGUGGAAGAGUAUUCUUUGUAUGCUUCGUUCAUAAGGCGACAAUCUCGAAUCAUUUGAUCCAAAAAUAGAACGUACCUGUAAGCAACAACUUAGGGAACACCAACAAAAAUAAAAAUCUUGGAUGGCUAAGAUAUUCCGAGAUUGCCAAUUAUAUAAGAAGUUACUAGGGUAAGGCACUACAAAAUUAGUAGCCCGAACAAGUUGACAUCAAUGGAGAAGACGUACCAUCACUUUUCUUGACUCCUACAGUAGCUUUGGAGGACUCUAGUAUUGUAUAUCCAGAUUUCGGGCAGAAUAAAUUUUAGAUAAAGGAUUAUUUAAUCAACUUGAUAACCAACACUCUCCAGAUUUAUGGUUUGCCUCAUGAAAAUUCAAACACACAUAUCUCAAGAUUCCUAAGGAAUAGCCAGGACUUUCACUUCAUGCUUAUUAAUGAAGAUCCAAUCAAGUUUCGGUUAUCCCUUUAUAUUUUGAGAGACGCAGUUCUGGAGUGGUUGGUUUCUGAGCCAUAUGCCAAUAUCAUGACUUGGGAGGACUUAACAAGGAUAUUUGCAAUAAAUUCUUCCAACUUGUAAGAGUAGCAAAAAAAUUGACUGAAAAUCUAAACAUUCCAACAACAUGAAAGGAAAAUCUACCAUGAAGCCUGGAAUAGGUUUAAGGAAUUAUUGAGAAAGUGUCCAAAUCAAGAAUUAAGCAAGGUAUUCAGGUGGAGUAUGGCUAUACUAGACUUUUACCCAUAGCUAAUUCUAUGUGGAUUCUUCAACAUAAGAGUCCAUCAUCAAUAAAUCAGUUUAACAAUAUUUGGAGCUAUUCAAGUUGAUUGCCACUACACACUUCAUGUUUUCAUCACAGUGAGUAGUCCUGAAAAAAGCAUUUGGAAUUCAUAAAGUCGACAAAACAUACUCCACAAAUUUUUGUAUUACUACCUUGAUAAACAAGGUUAAACGUUCGUAAAGUACAAACACGACAAGCACAAUGAUAGUCAUUUCAAUUUAUGAAAAAGUGCAAAACUGAGAUUAUUAUAUUUUUGAUUGCUUGAUUUAGUGGAUUGUUUUACCCAUAGUAUGGGGGCCAUGUAUUUUUCCUUCAAGAUUUAUCACGUUAUAUCCGGUGUUCUGAUUUUAAUUUUUCAAUUAAUUUUUGCACUCAAUUAAGAUUGUAUGACAAAACACAUCCUACAAGUACCACUUAGAACUUUUAGAAACUUUGCAUAGAAAUUUCUGACUGACUGUCAUCCAGAACUGUAACAGUGAAAUUAAAAUUCAUUUAUUUUUAAUUUAUCUAGGUAUUAGAAUUUACAUUUGCAUCAAAGCGAAUUCACUUUUAAAAAAGUGUGAUCAUAUAUAUAUAAUCCACAAAAUAUCAUGUAAUGGAUGGAGCAUUAUUUAGACCUCUUGUCUCAGACGAAAUGAACUACUCAUAUUGAAAAAUUGGAAUAUAGGUUUAUGUUCAAUUCUUAGAUGAAAAAGCUGGGCAUUCUAUCAUUAUGGAUAUAAAACAUUCACUGUGACUAAAAAUGUGAGAGAGAGAGACAAAGAGAGGUUGAAGAGUAGGGAACUACUAAGUUUAGCAAUGCUAGUUGGAAUUCAAAAGCUUUAAAUGCAAUUUUCUCUUUUGUGGAUUCUAACUAGUUUAUAGAAGGUAACCAAGGAAGCAUGGGAUAUACUAUAAGUAGCUCAUGAAGGAACUUCCAUCGUGAAGUCCCUAAAACUUUAAAUGCUUACACUUGAAUUUGAACAAUUGCCAUGAGAAAUGGCGAACAAUUCAAGGACUUGUAUCAAUCUUAGUGAUAUUAUCAACUUGACGUACAAUGUGGGAAGAAGUAUUCUGAAAGUAAAAUUAUGAAGAAAAUUCUCAGAUCACUACCUAAUAGGUAUCAUUCCAAAGUGAUUGCCAUCGAAGAGAGUAAAAACUAUGAAAAAAAUAAAAGUGGAAGGGUUGGUAGGCUUAUUAAUGACAUAUGAAUUGUAUCUCUAUAGGAGAAAGAAGGAAAAAGGGUCCGUAGUUGCCUUCAAAAGCUAAAGAAGUUUAGGAGGAUGAAGAAAGUGAGGGCGAUGAACGCGUGGCCAUUCUCACCAAAAAGUUUGAAAAUUCUUAAAGAACAAUAAAAAAGAAGAGUAGAAAACCCCAACCUCAACAGAAAAAGUUCUUUAACAACUCAAAGCAAAAUCCAACUUCACAUAUAGAGAGAAUUAUAAAACCAUAUUCAAUGCCAUGAGGACUGAGAUUCAAACUUAGACGAGGAUAGAACAAAUGAUAACCACUUAACUUCAUUCACUGUUAACUUCAAUUUGAUGCUAACUGGCGACAGUUGUUGCCUACAUUACAAACUCACUUACUAGAGACACAACUAGAUCAAUUCACGUAUAUUCAGAAUGCAUGAUACUGAAAAAGAAUCUUAAAAUUGCGCAAGAGAAGAAUGUCAUUCCUUGCAACGAUGGAGUUCAUUGAAGAAGAAAGGGCUAUGGUGCAACUGAAACAGAAACUCAAUCCAAAGUUAUGAAGGAAAAGGAAAAUCAAAUUUUGGAACUCCUUGCUGAACUGAGUCACACCAUGCAGAGAGUGAAACAACCGUCCAUUGGAUUUGUCCACCUAAGUAAACUUUUAGCUAUGGAAGAAUCUCGAGUAUCAAAGAAAACUUAGGCUAUAAAGGGAAAGGAAAGGAAAAAGAAUUUGCUCGUUGAAGUUUAAUAAAGAAACUGGAUAUGAUACAAAAUAGGUCAAACCUCUGAAGUUGUAGCUAGAGUACCAAACUAAGCCAUUGAUAAUAGGACAAUAGCAGUGUCUAAUUCACAUCAGCAUGUUCUGACCAUCUCCAAACACGUCUUAGAUAAUUUCAUCAGGUAAAGAAUAAUCUUUGAAAUUAGAAAGGUAAAAUAUAACACACUGUCAUGUAAUUUCUAUGGUAAGUAUGGACAUAAUUCAUUUUACUGUUUAACUCACAAGAAACAACUAUCACAAAAAGAGUUAACUUGCUAGCACUUUAAAGUAAAAUCGUAAUGCUAGAGUAAGGCAAGUUUAUGUUAAAAAAAAGGUAAUCUUAGGUGUUAUGCUGUUAAUAUAGACUUAAAUCUAUUGCCAAACUUUUGUUACAGUGGUUAUUCUAGACAUAUGACUUGUAAUUGUUCUAUACUAACAAAUUUUAAAAGUUAUACGGGUGGACUUGUUACUUUUGGAGAUGGCGCCCAAAGUAAAAUUGAGGUGUUAGUACUAUUGUGAUAGAUGGAUUUCCUGUUUUGAAUAAUGUUCUAUUUGUUUUUGAUUUAAAAACUAACUCAUUAGUGUAAGUAAACUAUGUUAUAAGGAGCUCAUGAUAAUGUUCACUAAAAGUACAUUUAAGAUUAUGAAAAACGAUGGUGGUUGUGUCCUAUGUCCUUGGUCUAGUGAUAAGUGGUAUUUACUUGAAUUUGAAAUCUCUUUUCAUGUUUUAAAAGCUAACUUUACAAAUUUAUGGCACAAACUAUUGGCACCUGAACUAAGGAGAUUUUAUCAGACUUAUUAAAUAUAGUGAGAGGAGUUCCUAAACUCACAGAAAAACCUGAAGGUAUGUGUAGAUCAUAUAAGAAAGGUAAAUAAACUAGAAUUGCACAUAAACUAAGUUAGUUUCUUGCUACCUUUCACUGUCUUGAAUUUAUACCUAUGGACUUGAUGGCACUAAUUCAGACUGAAAGCCUCUGUAGAAGAGGUAUAUUUGUACGUUUGUUAUGAUUUUCUCCAGGUACACUUGGAUAAACUUCUUAAGAGAGAAAGUUGAUGUUUU